GCUAAUAAUUUUCAGUGUACCGACUUUGAAUUUUUGACGGUCUAAUAACGUAAUAAAUUAUGCGCUUUAGAAUGGAGACCGAGAGGGAAUAGACCUGCUAUGGACAGACCGGUAAAAAAACAAAAAAGAGAGAUGGGUACUUGGAUCAGAUCGAGAAAUCCAAAUACCCGGUGUCGACAGUCCGGAAGAAGCGGAAAACGUUGGAGAAUAAUGUCCCCCUGGCUUUAUGUGAAGUAGCGAUUGUCUUUAACGACCUCCGAAGCUGAAGAUAGAUACAUAGAUAAACAUUAUUUUACUGAAUAAUAAACAACAAAUAAACACAUUAUUGUAUUUGAUAACAAAAAAUUACACUCAUGAAGAAUUUAAUACCAGUAUGAUACACGGAAAUUCAGUAUGUUAGACGAACUGUCGCGAUUCAACUAAUGAUAUCGGAUCGCACUGUAAAAAUUAUAUCCGAAAUGUGUCAGUUUUCGCAUCUUCUAGUCAUUACAAUUGUCGUACAAUGCCACCUACGUUGUUUUUUUUUUCGUUACCCUCGAAAUCGUACGCUAUAAAAAUUCGCAUUCGUCAGUCCUGUGGGUUCGGGUGUACGAUAACAUAAUAUUUUACAUUUGUUUACCCGUCGAACGUUUUGUUAUAAAUUCGGAACAAAAAAAACGACACAUACCCUAUACGAACCGUUCGACGAAAAAAAUAAUAUCACCGUAUUCCGUACUCUGUCGCGCAGGUCGCUGUCGCACGUAAACGCCAUGCGAUAAGAAAUGUAACUAAUUUAUAUUGUACAAGGUGACGUGAAAAACAUGACGCGCGUUUUAUAAAAUAAUAAUAAAUUGUACCGUAUGCCUCCAGUACCGCUACGCCUCACACACACACACACAUCUAGUAGAUGUACAUAUUUAUACGUAUGUAUAUAAUACAACUGCCCUUGUAACGCUGGGGGAGUCACCGGUGGAAAAUUACAGAACGCGUAAGCAGUCGUCCAGGUAUUCGAAUACGCACCGUAAGGAUAUCUGUUUGGGUAUCUUACAGUACGUGACAUUAAUGUGCCCCGUCGCUGUGCGACAGUGAAAUACGACAACGAUUGGACAGUGGCGUUACGUCGGGGUUCCGUAGGGCUUUCGGUAUCCUCAAAAGAGUCCUCAAUACGAGGCAAAAUUGUAUUGUUCAUCAAUGAAAUACGUGACAUAUCCGUCAUUUGUGUAACGGUAUAAUGCGUGGUCGAUUAAAAAUAUCUGUCGUUAUAUUUAUCGAACACCGCUUGUCUUUCAUCGCGUUAUCACCCGUGGCGUAAACAAAAUAAAAAACAAAAUUAAUUUAUUAAUCAAUAGAAUUUUCUCUCUUGGCGGUAUAUGGCUGCCCCACUUCCGACUCGUAAAGCGUUUAGCGUAAGCGUAAAGGCUGUUUAAUUGAUUUACGUAUCUGUGGUAUUAUCGGAGAUAACGUUCUCACUUCCGGGAUCGGAAAACAAACGGUUUACGAGAUAUUAUCAUCGAAAUAAUGUAAAAAAAAAAAAAAAAAAAAUAGGAAAUGAUAUAUUUUUGGACAAGCCAAACCGGUAGUUUUCAUAUUUUUAUUAUUGAUUGAUACUAUCGUAUUAAUAAUAAUCGUUGAUUUUUGAGCGACAAAAAAGAGCCGAUUGAAGUCCUUUAUUUUUAACCGAAUUACAAUGAAAAUACAAAAUCGAAAAUACUUGCAUUAUACCGUGCAACACUAUGCAUUUUCUCGUUUUUCUCGAUAUCUUUUUUCAAAAUUAUUAAAAAAACUUUAAGAAAAUCAAAGAAAAAAAACUGAUCACUCGAUAUCUACACAGACAGAAUGGAGAGAAUUCGCCAUUAGAAAAGUGUAGAACAAAAAUUAAUUUUUUAAAUACGAACUGUUUUUCCACCAGAUCACAGACAGAAAAAAAAAAAAGCACACAUCAUAGUAAAUCGAUAAUACAUUGCGCGUUAUGAUUGAAAUCUAAAUCUAAAUUUUUUUUUUUUCAAAAAAAAUCUAAAAAUUCUCGGUAUAAAUAAGUUCUUUACGGACAGUAAAAACAUAUAUCGUAAUAAUAAUAAUAAUGAUAAUAAAACAAAUUUAAUUUAUUACCAGCGGAAAACGUUUAAUUUCCGAGAAGGGCAAAACACGCGUCUUAGUAAAAAUUAAUAUCUAUCUGUACUCGGAAAAUUCUAAAAUACAUAUUAUAUUUUGCACGAGCGCGUGUAUUAUCGCGAAUAAACAUAAUUUUUUUUUUUUUUUAUCAAUAUUAAAAUCUAGCCAACGGCAAACGGAUAUGCGCGCACGAUUUUUACGUUAGUGCGUAUGGACUCACAUUUUAUUGUUCCCGGAAAUGGUUAUUGUACACGUUGUUCGGGAUCGCGUAAGAAGAUUUCAUUUCACGAAAUGUUCAAGAGGGGAAUUAAUCAUUCUGUUGUAAUAUCCAUAUAACAUUACGCGUGUACGUUGUUAUCGUCUCUCCACGAUAAGCAUGUUAAUAUCCUGCGCCAUAGUUUAUUGUGAUAUUGGCGAUUCCAUAUUAAAUUGUAGUUUCGUUUCAUAGAAUAAUAACGGCCGCGGUUUGUUCGGGUACUCUAGAUCGCUGAAUUGUUUCGAAAUAAAAAAAAUAAAAAAAUAAGACGAAAUCGGAGCCUAAAAAAAAAAAAAAAAUUACUGUGGGUCAGCUAGACAACUGAUCUCCUGAUGGCAGUCGCUCGCUCCGUCUCCCUUGACCCGUUACCUGUCAGCGGUACAAGCGUAGAACCUGAAUUUUGAUAAAGUAUACCGCGACGGUGCAACAAAGACAAAUAAUGAUGCAUAAUUAAAAUGGUUUUUUUUUUUUUUUUUUUUAAUUUUCAUCCACCGUCAAACAUAAUGUAAUAUAAUUAUUUUACGUGAAAUGAUUUACAUGAUUUGUUUAUGGGUCUGUUACGUUGAAAAAUAAAAACUCGACGAAUAGUUAAACUCUAUACAUACGGAUGCUAACGUGCGGCGGCGAGCUAAACGAUUUUUUUUCUCGCCUUCAAUCCAUCGACUGUUUUUGCAUGCCGUUUCGUUCGUAAGUUAAUUCCUUUAAACUCUGGUAAUUAUCCGCAGUCCGUGUCUUUUGUAAUUCACUUCGAGCAUUUUAUCCUUGGUAUAGCAUUUCUAAUAGGUAUGGUUGUAUACGACUCCCCUUUUAUACAUUAACACUUUUCGUCAAACUAUCGUGUCACUGCAGUAGUUGCGUCGUAAUUUUGUCCUUUCCGACUUUGCGACUGUGCCAAAUUUCUCGGGUUCCCUAUAUCUUGUUUAUUACAUUUAUUGGCAUGUAAUUCCUUCUGUCCACAUUGAAUCUCAAUAAGCAUUUUUCAAUAGUACCGCAUUUCAAAAGCGUCCAAUUUUCCUUUCUCUGUUGUACCGAUUGUCCAAGUUUGACAGUCGUGUAAAGGAACACACAUCAAACAUAUUCUACUUUCAGGAACUCUACCCUAACCAGUAGGGUCAUGCUAUUUGUGACGAGUUUUAUCCUUAAAGACCUUCUUUGCUUGUGCUUUUCUGUGUGAUCGUGGCUAUAUUUUUUCGGUGAUGUGACUUGUCUAUCUUGAUUAGGAUGGAGUAGGAAAGGGGUAUUUUGUUGUUUUUUUUUCGAGAGCUUAAAAUUGACAAAGUUACUUUAUCCAAAUAAAUCAAUUGCAUAAGUGAAUUUUCAAUGUCAAAAUGUCUUUUCCAACAACAUGAAAAUAACGUCCAUUACUGGAUGGUUAUGAAAAGGAUUAUAAAAAAAAAAAAAAUUCCCUUCCCAGCAAACAUCCAACAUUUUUUUUUACUUUAUCGUUGCUUUGAAUAGGUAUUAAAAUAGUAAAACCAAAUAAUUAUCGCAAAUCGAUCAUACCUUUUCAAAGCAAAUGUUUGUAAAACUUUGUAACUACUUAUCUUUACAUGCUUAUCGUGGCAAUAUGAAAUUUUAAUCGAAAUUUGUUUGAAGUAUAAAUCUCGUUUAGAGAUUUCGUAGUUUCUACGUUCUUUGAUCGUUUUAUAACGUAUUAAAACGGAUUACGUCGUAAGUUUUCAUUUGUUUUUUUCAUUAAAAUAAUUUAUUCAUAGAUUCUGAGUAUAAAGAGGAAUGAAUUGAUUUUAUAAUGGUGUGUAUUUUUUCUGUCUGUGCACAAUUUUCCUGCCAGAAAUCAUAUUUCGGUCAUCGACCCAAGGGAGCGUCUUCCAGGAGAAAAUUGUGUCUAUUUAGUGCAUUGCAAAGGUCAUUUUAUAUUUCUCUAUGUUGUUCCCCAAACAAUUGGUAAAACAAGCCAAAAACGUCGAAAACCUAGGAAAACGUACGUACAAACGGUUUUUGAUUUUUUUUUUUUUGUUUUUUGAGACCUGAAAUUUACUCUGCAUACUUAUAUUAGUGCUUUUUAAAAAUAUAAAAACUUUAAAAUCUGGCAAUUUUUAGGCUCUUUAAAUUUUUCAAAUUUGUUUAGGUUUUUAUUGAGUUUUAUGCAGAUACAAUUUUUUUCUACCAGGAAAAAUACUCGAAGUUUAAUACGAGGUUCGUCGUCGUCAUCAUAUUAUAUUGUACAUACGUAUAAUGGAAACAAAAUUUAGUAUUACGCUACAACAUCACGUUGAAGUUAAUUUUGUAAGCAGUUUGAGUUUUAGUAAUAUUAUACUAAUUACAUGUAAUUGCGUUUUUCGUUUAAAUUGAAAAAAUCGAUAAAAAAAAAAAAAACUAUGUCGAUUACGAAAAUAUAACAACUGUCAAAAUGAACGGAGGGGGGAGGGUUAGAACGUCGGGAAUUUCGCUUCGGAAGUGGUCCGGUAAGCCUCUCCGGUUCGCCUUUGGUAUCGUCUCUUUGAUCUUCCAUUUCCAAAACUCGGUACUUAUCAAUCGAAUAGUUUAUGACAACCUCUAUGCGUACUGUCUGACGUGUAAACAAAAUUCCUAAACAUAUUAUGGACGGUGAGACGGUUUUUUUUUAUUGGAUAAUUAAUCGGCUCGGCCGAUUAAAUGCGAAUAUAACGUUUAUAGUCCGUCAGUGGCGGAUUGGGCAGCCCCCCGGUCGGCAUAAACGGCCGUGGUCAGUGUCCCGAGAAUUUUCGAAAACAUAAAACAAUGGCACGUAGCAAAACAUUAUUCCGCGGUCGAUAUCGAAAUAUUUAAAACGACGCAAAUACAAUAUGGUUUGGCGACGGAGUUUUUUUCAUUCGUAAACUGCCGGCCGUUUUUGUCAAAUAAAAGUGAAUAUCAUUGAACUUCGCACAAUACCGCGUGUAAACGUUUUUCCGCUACAAUCGUCGUACAAUUAGUUAUUUAUGUUGUUCCGCGGCUCCGACCGGUAGUGACGGUGGUCGGUCCCCGGCAUUUACUGUCGUGUAAAUAGGCGGCUUCAUUAAUAACUACUGACGCGUAGUACAGUGUCACUGUCCAGUGCGAAAACGAAAUGUCAAAUAAAAAUAACCGCGACGCACAGACGAUAACAGCACAACGUCCCGUCUGUGUAACAGCGAUGACGUGCGAAUAUAUUUUUGGCCCGCCGCGGCGUUUUAUCCGGAACGGCGGUCAUUAUUUUGUUCUAUUUGUUUUUUUUUUUUCGUUUCGUUUCGUAAAAACGUUUCUAUUUUCAAAGACCUCGCCCACGAUCGCAUCGUUCACAGUCGCGUGGCUUCUGGUGAUCAAAAGUACUUUUGACUAUUGCGAAUAAUUUGCGACGAUGUUUUAUUAAUAAUAUUAAUCAAUGUGAUUGACGCGUUCGCCGAACAGACAAUAUUGUUAGUAAAACGAACUCGAGAGAAAACAAAAAAAAAAAAACAAUGAACAUUGCUAAUUAAUAGGGAACAAAAUACCCGGAAAUAUCCAGGAGAAUUCGGGAAAACUUGUUUUUUUUUAGAGCCCCGGAAAAUAAUAUAAAACAAUUGGAGAACAUUAAAAUGAUACGUUUCUAAAAAGAAUAAAAUCUUGACAUUUUCAUUUGCGAUCAUAAUCAUCCAAGUAUAAAGAAAUUGGUUUUGAACAAUAUUAUUAUAAUACAUCCUUAUAAACUACACCCUGGAAUAUUACAAUCAUUUAGAUUCUGUGCGUUAUAUUUUUGUUAGUUACGUUUUAAUGUUCCGGAACUCGAAGUAGGAAAUGUAAAAUGGAAAAAAAAAUUCGAGACUGCUAUUUUGUAAAUCCAAUUUGUAGACAAAUUAUUGGGGAAUCGAUAAAUUUUGUUAUAUUUGGGUCAAUUACUUAUGAAAAAUGUUUAAAGUAUUGUGAAUUAAACUUUUAAAUUAAACAAUUAAACUUGAUUCGCAUGUUCGUCUUUACGAGUGAUUUUUUUUCCAUGAGACACGCUUAUCGUUUAUCGUUAAUAAAAUUAGCGAAAAAUAAAAAUAUUAAUUUUACCGAAUUUCCAAAAUCGUUUGAAAAUUACCGACUUGUCGACUUGAUGCUUUUAAACACCGGGGAAAAAAAAAAAAAAAUUAUAAAAGGAUUUGGAAUUUUAAAUUUAUGUGUGUAUAAUUUUUUUAACAACAAUAAAAAAAAAAAAAAAACUUGAAAAUAUUCAAUCGAAAAAAAAAGUCGUUACGCAUGUUAAUUAAUAAUCCUGUUACACUAUUAAUAGUUGGUGUAUCGAAUACAUACACAUGUGUAACGCACGUUAAUGCAAAUGUUUUUACGUAUUUGUUUAAUUUAAUAAAUAACCCCUUUCAUUACGGCCUAUACUAUAUUACGGUAUAUUAAUAUACUGUACGGAGGGGUAAAUGCCGCCGCCCGCGCCGUUGUGUGUGUGUUUGUACGACAGCGGUUAGUUGACACAAUCGCGUGUUUGCGCAGAGUACGGAAAACGUAAUCUCGAAGUUUAAAUAAUAAAACGAAAAUCAAAAACUUUUAUACAGGUCGAGUUAUUCGGCGCUACGGGCCACGCAAAAAAUAAUUACACUUUGAAAUCGCGGGACCAUAAUGUAAUAUCUAACUGACGUUUAAUGCGGGUAUCAACUCAAAAACCUGACUGGCCGACUCUUUAAAAACGUUUUGGACGGUAUCCGCCGUCGUCGGGCCUUUUUGUUGGUGUACGACUGCACAACGAAAUAUAAACUUCCAGGUCGUAUAAUGCCUGUGUCUAUCCGUUGAACAAUUCGGUUAUUAUACAACGUAUAAGUAUUUAAUUUUUUUUUUCCCCGGAGCAUUCGAAAUACUUUUUUCUCUCGCCCCCCGCCCCCUCACCCCACCGUUCGGUAGGCAUUUUAUAUUAAAAAAAAAAAAAAAAAAUUGUAUAUAAAAAAAAAAUGAUAUAAAAAUAUACGCAACAUACCAUGUGCAUGAUUAUACUACGUUUUUCUUACGAGCUAACCGAUGAGUGUAUAGUUUUAUUGUGCCACGGGUUUUUUAUUAUAGCUUCUUUUUUUUUUUUUCACAUUUUAUUUCUAAUGUAUUAAUUUUUUUUUUAUUUUUUUGUCGGUAAACAUUUUAUUCGACCGGAAGAAUUCCGGAAGACAAUCGGUUUAAUGUGUUUCUGGUAUCAAACAUCGGUGCUUCGGAAAGUCAUGUUUUUUUUUUUCGUUAUACACUUUUGAACGCAUACAUCGGAAGAAGAUCCGAAAUAAAUUUCGUGCAUACAGUGUUAAAUGCAAACAGAUCACGUUUAAAAAACACAUACAAUUAAGCUAUGACACUGCAAACACUUAUUUUUAAAAUAACAACAACAAUAUUUAUUUAGCGAAUCGCAAACGGUACAUAAAUCUCAUAUAAUAAAAUAAUUGCAAUGAAAUAGAUUUGCGACUGCCCAUUAAGCAUCGCUUGUGUCGUGGAGUUAAACAUCGAGUUGCGAUGUAUCCGAACAGAUUAAACAGAUAGAUUCAAUUAAAUACAUAUGAGUAAAAUCUGUUUUAUUUAAGAAUGACUCAAAUGAAUUUUCAUUAUGAAAAUUAUUUAAAUUCAUUUUUUUAGAAUUUUACGCGGUUCAACUGCGACGGAAAAAGAGCUUUUUACACCAAAUUGUUUAUAGAAGAUAAGAACAGAAAUAUUUAUAUUUUCUUUGUAACGUGUACUAUAGUUGUGAGUGACGUGGUUGAAAUUAUUUAUUAUUAAAUUUACAAAAUGUAAUUAAAUCAUAUAAAUAAAAAGUUUUAAUAGAAAAUAAAUUCAACAAAUCCCAAACUAAAUUAUUACUUGUGAAUUAUCUUGAAUAUAAAUUUAAUUACGCGUGUUAAAGUAGAAUUUAAAGAAAGAACAUGAGAAUUAUUUACUGGACCCCGAAAAAAAAAAAUACUUUAGUUAAUAACUGAUUGAACCAAAGAUAGAUUUGUGUACAUAAAUAUACGUGUGUACACUUUUACAACUCAGACCAAGAAACAAAGCGAAUAAAAAUACGUUAGACAAAAAUGUAUUCAUUAUUUUAUUAAAAAAAAAAAACAUUAGAAAUUCUUAAGCUCUUCUUCGCCGGAACGAAAGAAAUAUUAGCCGAGUGUUCCAGACUUGGUAUAUUCUGACGGUUUUCGAAUUAUUUACAUCUGUUUGAAACUGUCGGGCUUUUUUGGCUUUGUGCAGUAGAUAAAAUUUGUAGUUUGGCUUCGUUUAAAUUCAUGACAAUUUAAUAAAAGGUUCCUCGUACGUUUUUCUUACGGCAACAUAAAAAUAACGCGAACCCGUAUUAUUCCGUAACGGGACCAUCACAAUAAUUUGUCCAUGGCGAACACUUCAACCCGGCUCCGAGAAGCUGUCACCGUACACGUGCGGGUACAGUAAGUAAUUGAAAUAUUUUUCGUACGCGUGUGUAUUUUAAUGCAUUUUGUUGGUUUUUUUUUUUAUUAAUAUUUUCGACAAGUUGUCGUGUACAGUUUUGAAGAAUUUCACGGGUAUUUUCCAUAAUUUUUGGCAAAUAUUCGUAACAGUAUUUUUCUAGGUACUCAAGUUAAUUUCGGUUUUUCAACUCUCGAAGAAUGACUUGAAGCGCUGCUACAGUGACGUGGCUCUUACAGACAUUUCACACGGAAAUUGGUGGCGGUAGAGACAACAACAAGCAUGCGCACUGACAGAAAUCCGUGGACAACAAUACGAAAUAGAAUCGAAAAAUAUUAUUACAAUCGCGCGACGACGGGACGGGGAUUACCGGUUAAUAUGCAGGACGUCGAGAGCAGAUAGUAUACGAUAGGAAAUGUUAGACAAUUUUAAUGUAAAACGAAUUUCUUAUCAACAUCUCUUACCGGACCAUUUUUUCUGCCGGAAAGUGUGAACGGUUUGUAGACUGGCCCGCAGUAAAUAAUAGAUACUGAUACAUUUAUUUAUUUUCAAUGCAUUUAUUGUAAGUGUAUCAGUGAACUUUGUUUUACCUAUGGAGCCAACGCGAUUCCGGAUUACCAAUCACCUAUAAAACAAUAGUUGUAUUUUUUCAGCCAAUCUAGGGAGUCCGGAUUCUAUUUUGCAUGGAUAAUAUUUUGAUCGAACGACGUAGGAACCUUCUGCACAAUGUUUACGUCAUCUUGGUAAAAUGUGACAAACAACAUUUUUUUUUUUUUUUUGUUAGGUACCGUAUAGUUAUCAUAUCUUGUUUAAAAAUCAACAAUUUUCGUAUAAAUUUUAUAUUAGGUUUUUCUUUUUAGUGCACACUUCUCAAAUUAGUUUGAAUAAGGAUUUUUAUAUCCCGGUAGCAUUUUUAAAAAUCAGCGACAAUUUUCAACGGGCGUAGUAAAAAAUAAUCGUAGGUAAAUCGUAGACGAUUUUGUUCGUAUGUGGCGAACCCGGCUAUGGGAAAAUAAAAUUCUCAUCUGAAAAAAUCCAAUUUUUUUUUUUAUUCGAUCAAUCGAUUAGUUCUCCGUCACAUGCGGUGGAAUUAUGACUGUGUAAUAAAUGUUAACAUUGAAUUACUUGAUACGUACUCGUGUAUAAUAGCAGUUUUUUAAGUCAGCAGUAGUAGAGUUAUCCCUAAACCCACUACCGCUCCCCUAGGCGCACGGUGUCAGGUACCGAAUAUACUAAUUAACGUACAGCACCGAGUUAUUUAAUGGAUAUUUCGGCGUCGAUCGAAAAGCGAAUCGAAUGGUUUUUCGUUAUAUGAGGUAAUUUAGAAAAGAAAAAAAAAAAUCCUAUUUGUUCGUUUAAAACAGUCUGCGGAGUAGAAAAAAAAAAAUCAACAUUUUUCGUUGACUAAAAUUUCGUUUGUAAAUUACGCGUUCACUCGAAAACGGACAAACGUAUUUCAUAAUAAUCAACUAAAUUAUUUACGUCGUUAAAACGCGAUAAUAAUAAAUAAUAAUAAUACAUUCGUAAUAAAUAACAUUACGUUCGUACAUAAAUUAAAUGCGUUUCGUGUGUUCCCGAUACGAUCUAACAACCGUAUAAAAUAUGUCCAGUUAGCACACCGCGCCACCCAUGCCGAAUAAUAUAGUCGUACGCGUAAACAGAACACGUCAUAAUAUUUUCACCCUAAACGGGUUCGUUAAGCGAAUUCAUUAUUAAACGCAAGUACACGUGCAUGUCGUACGCGCUCUGCGCAUACGGUUAUUUAUGUAUAGGUAAUUUCGAACGUUUCGGGCUGAACGCAUUACAAUUUUUCCGAAAUUUCAAAAUGCGAAUCGCACGAUAAACGCGGCGGUCUGCAGUUGUUGUAAAGUUGUUGUAUGAUAAUCGUAGCAAUUCCACGGUCCGCGGCAAUAUCGUUAUUUUAUAUUGCGUGUCCGGUACGGAUAGACCGGCACGGUUUCGGAAAAAUUCGUUUUUUUUUUUUUUUUUUUGCUAACACUACUUUUAUGUCCUUUUUUUUAAUUCUGUUUUUUGAACGCGAUCGGAUUGGAUAAGAAAAAAAAAAGGUAUAGGCAACGAUACCGCGCUGUAUCAAAAGCGCAUACAUUAGUUAGUAAUUAGAGAGAAAACUUGUCGUUUUAGAUUUAAUGCUUAAAGGUCUUCGGUUAUCGGGGUAUUUUUGUUGUUUUUGUUUUUUAAGCGGUAAAAAUGUAUUUAUUUAUUUAUGCCCGAACGUUUGAGACGUGAAUUUUUACAAAAAUAUGACUGUAUCCGAUUUUUCAGAGCCUAUAGCGUCCGGAGUAUUUUUGUUUGACAAAGUUUGAUCGUGAAAUAUUUGCGAACAUUUUUUGAAAAUUAAAUUUAUUUUGCCGUCUAUAGGAGAUCGCUGACUGCAGUCUCCGCCGUCCGAUAUUUACGUUAAUACGUUAAUAUCUCUUAAUAACUAUUGCGACUUGCGAACAUGAUUUCGGGUUUCUUUAUUUCAGACAACAAUGUUUGCAAUGUCUUUUCCAUUAUAGCGUACUCUUAUUGAGCCACCACCGUCGUUGUCGGAAAGUCGGAAGAGUAGGAUGUAGGAUGUACAUAUAUAGGGUGUUUACGUUUGUAUGUAUACAGUAUAAUAUAAGAUAAAUCGUUGUCAAACCAAAAAAGUUUGUGAACCGUUGAUUCGGUAAAACAUACUAUUUUUUUGAAUCCAAAUUCAACUCGUGUAAUUAUACGAGAUAAAUUCCGAUUUUUUUUAUACAGAGUUUUGUUAAAAUUUGAACUUUAAACAGAAUUAUAAUAUAUUAAUGCGAUUCAAAGAACGCAUAUUACAUAUACUGUGUUAGAAGUGGUGAAAUUCAUGGGUAAGAAAUAUGAGUAAUAAAACCAAAGUGUCUAUUCGGGAGAUCGAGGGAGCGAUAUAAAUACGCCGCUAUCUUUUUAGUAAAAAAAUUAAAAAAAAAAAAAAAAUACUUAUAAUGAAAACAAUAUUAUUACACUGUUCGGAUGUACGCCCGUGUAUUAUAACAUGAUAUUAAAAACGCCGAUUUUAUGUAAACGUAUCGGCGAUGAUGAAAAUAUAAUACGCGAAAAAAAAAAACAAUUUAAUAACCGCGCGUAUUAUAAUUGUCGGGUUGUUAAAUUUCAAUAUUGAUAAUCUCCGGAUAACGACGCGGAAGUCUUUGCGCGUGUUCGCGUACAUAAUACCAUACAGGUACCGGGGUACCGCGGGUAUAAUAAUAAUAACGCAGUGUUAAUGCGAAAAAAAAAAAUUAAUAAUAAUACGUAAAAAAAAAAAAAAAAAAAAAACGAUUUAAAGGCCGGCUCGCGCAAUGUGUUGCGGCCGCUUUAAUCCGCGUGUUAAACGCGCGAUAUUAAAACAGUGUGCGAUUUGUUGCGCCGGACGUGAUGACGCGUCCGCGGCGUGCGUCGGUGCGCCCGCGGCUAUAACACAGUGUAGCGUUAAAAAAAAAAAAAAAUAAUAAUAAUAAUAAAAAAAUGCAAAAAAAAAAACACUCCCCUCCCGGAGCGCGUUUACGAGCCGCGCGCGAAACCCGACAAUAGGCGGCGGCCGGCUCUCGGGCGGAAUUUCCCGCUCCAUUGUGCGCGGUCAUUGUGUUUCGCGCACCUGUCCGCCGGCGUUGGCGACGAGAUUUUAAUGCGCGCGGCACGGUCCGACAAUCGUAUUAUAUUCGUGCGACAAUAAAGGCCCCGUCGAAUCGGAAUCGCAACGGCGUUGCGUUACACCGCCGUUGUGCGGGACGUGCACGCGAUACCCGGCGGAUUUUUCCGACACGCCGCCGCUAUUGUUGUCCGCCACCCGGGGUGGAUAUUUCGCCGGAAAAACGGUAUCGCGUAUUAUUAUUAUUUUUCCGUCCGACGAAUCGACCGGAACCGUCGUUUUCGCGCGUCCGGAUUUGAUAAAAAAAAAAAUCGUGUCCGCGGAUUUUUAGCCGUUUUCGGUUGGCGCGGGCUCGUGCGCGCGACGACGCGAUACCGUAUAAAUCAUGUCGAUUAGAAUCGACAAUUCGUCCAUGCGAAUUAGAAGUUAACCGAAAGUUAAAGUAUUAACUUUUUAUCUCGAAUAAAUUUAAAAUAAAAACAAUUUACACGUUGCACACAUCACUCACAAACGUUUCGAUUUUUCUGACCACGAAGUCGAAACGGCUGAAUUUCAUAAUCAGAAUCUCCGAAAUGGAUUCAUUUCAAAAAGGUCAAGUGGCACAAGGAUAUAAUAAUAUCCUCCUUAUCUCCCCCCCUCCCUAAAUACGGCCGCAGAACGUCCUUACGCCCCGCGAAGCCGUGUAUCCGAAAUUCCCCCCCAUGUAAAAUUGGUGGCAGGUAUCACGGUACGAGAAUUCCAUUUGUUCUCUUCGUUACCUUUAGUGUCACGGACGAAUAAAAACGGAUGACCAGGAGAAACGGGAAAUCACGUUAAAUUUAAUUUCGUUUAUUUCGGCCAUUUCCAAGCUGUAAUAUCAGCAAACAACAAUAAUAUACAAAGAAAUUCCCUUUUUUUUAUUCAUCUCCUACGUGGAUUAUACCCGACGAUUUAACCGACUCGAUUUGAAUAUAUUGGAUUUUAUAGUUAAUUUUUUUGUUUUCAGACAUUUACGUAGACAACUUCGGGAAAGUUUUAAUGAAAUCAACAACAUAACGAUGUGUAACACGCCUGUCAAAUUCUUAAGAAUCCGAAAUUAAAAAAAAUGUAUUUUUAAUUACUUCAGCUAAUUACAACAAGUACUUUUUAAUAACAAAAAAAAAAAAAGAAAGACCGACAUAUUUUGCACCUUUGAUGGACCACUGUUGUAGAUGAGAAGUUAGAAAGACAGUAUGAUAUAGAGGGGAAUUUUAUGUAUAUACAUAAGCAAAGAUUAAUCGUUGCGAACGAAAAAAGAUUCUGAGCGAAGCUUUUUCAAUAAACAGUAUAUCUAAUGUCAUAUUAUAGUUAAAAAUAAGUAUAUAUCGAUACAGUUUGAAUAGACCCGUAACUAGAUAUGUUUUACAUAAUUGUUUACUAAAACGAUUUUCGCCAAAAUUUGAAAUUAAAAUUUGUGUAAAAAAAAAAAAUUCUACAUUAAGUUUAAUUCAACCCAAAAACACAACUUUAAAUGAACCUACUGUUAAAUUUUCAAACGUUUCUGUUAAUUAAAAUUUUAUCCAAAGAGUACCUAUAAAUACAAACUACGUAUAAAAAUCUCAUACAAUUUCUCUACAAAUUCCUUUCUGGAAAGGUGCUACACUUACACAUCGGUGCGAGAUUUCCAGGAUAAAAUUUUGUCACGGUAUAUAUAUAAAAAAAAAACAAAACAUACGAGUAACUGUAAAAUAUAACAUAUUCUGCAAACGUUUUAAUAAAAUAAAUUGUAAUAAAAUAUCUAAUAAUCCUUGGCGUGCUUUUCAACAAUUUUAGUCAAAAAUCUAAAAAAAAAAAAAUAAAAUAAUACCAGCUAGCUUUACCAAACUUAGCCUAGAGUAUUUUACGUAUAUGUUGUAUUUUCAAAUAAUCAUCAUCAGACAGUAUUAUAAUACAACAAAGGCGAACAAAUAAAACGUGAAUGGCGGAUGGGAUUGCGGAAAGAUACGAGAUGACGUCGAGAUUCAGAACGAUUUAUUUUUAUCUAAAAUAUACCGGUGAACAGGGGUAGAAUAAUGUUCUUUAGAUUCCGAGUUUACAGUGAUGUUUAUUUUUUAUUGUUUUGUUCAUUUUUUUUUUGUUUUUAUACUCCUUAAAAAUUCGCAUCUUUUUUUUGUAUGGCACGGAAAACCACAAAAAAAAAAAAAAACCACUAGAAAAACCAAUCUUUGUAAAAAUAUUAUUAUAAGUUAAAAAUGACGAUUUUUAUUUUAGAUGUUUAACAUAAAAUUUUAUCGAUUCUCUCGUUGGCCUCGGAAUUUGUUAUUCAUUUUUUCGGGUUGCACACGGAUAGUUUUUUCGUUGGAAAACAAAAAUUGAUUGUUUGCACAGAUGUUUGUAGCCUUGGGGUUCUUCGCGCCCGAGACCACGGGUUUCAUCGGCACACUUCUACGGUUUCGUCGGGCAUUGGAGGUUUUUUGUAUACGGGCCCGUAGGUUUUUACGUUCAAGGAUCCGCAGAUUUUUUUUUACGUAAAUGUCCGCCGUAGGUUUCGGCCAGCCGCCUGGUGCCCGAUUUUUCGGGGGGCUGAAGCUUUUGACGGUCAGUUUUGUAAUGACUGCCCACAACUUCAGUAUGUUCUGUGAAAAGCGAAUCAAUUGGUUUAAGUAAUUGUGUUUCGAUAAGAAUUUAAAAAAAAAAAUUAUCGGGUUUCAAUUAAAAAUGGUUUGUGUUUAUUUUUUUCGAAAAGCGUUCAAAGCAUCUAAAUAAAUUACCCAUAACAGUGGUUACAGCCGUUCCCAUUAUCCUAGGACAGCUUUUCGUGUUCAAUCCGAAUAGUAUUUUCAAUGGAAAACAAGGAUCGACUUUUUUUUACGUAAAUUUUCACCGUAGGUUUCGGCCAGCCGCCUGGUGCCCGAUUUUUCGGGGGGCUGAAGCUUUUGACGGUCAGUUUUGUAAUGACUGUCCACAACUUCAGUGUGUUCUGUGAAAAGCGAAUCAAUUGGUUUUAGUAAUUGUGUUUCGAUAAGAAUUAAAAAAAAAAAAAAAAAUCGGGUUUCAAUUAAAAAUAGUUUGCGUUUGUUUAUUUAGAAAAGCGUUCAAAGCGUCUAAACAAAUUACCCAUAACAGUGAUUGCAACCGUCUCCAUUAUCCUAAGACAGCUUUUUCGGGUUGCAUCUUGAUGUUUUUUUCGUUGGAAAACAAGUUCGUGGACUCGGGUUUCUGAGUGCACUAGUCCAUGGUUUAUUUCACACAAUGUUCCCGAGGGUUUAUUCACGGCAUAUGUCCGCUGUAGGUUUCGGCCACCCACCUGGCGCCGGAUUCUCCAGAAUGCUGAAGUCUUUAAUGUCAAUUUCGUGGUGACCGCCCGCAACUUCGGUGUAUUCUAUGGAAAGCGAAUCGAUUGGUUUUAAGUUAUUGUGUUUCGGUUAGUAUUUGAAAAAAAAAAAUCGGGUUAAAAUCAAAAAUGGUGUUUUAUUUUUUCCGAAAAGCGUUUAAAACGUCAAAAUGAAUUACCCAUAACAGUGGCUACAGUCGUUCCCAUUACCCAAGAACGGCUUUUUCGGGUCCCAUCCGGAUGAUUUUCGUCUUAAAACAACGAUUGGUUGUGAACUGGGCGCAUUUAUUCGUGGCCUCGAUUCCUUUACACACGAGUCUACGGGUUUCUUCGCACACGAGUCCACUGGUUAGGUGUUCAAAAUGUUUUCAAAGCGUUUGAAUAAAAACGUGCAGUCACUAUGACUAUCGCUCGCGAAAUGACGUUGAACAGUUAUUAAACUAUCAUUAACAGUAUUGUUUAAAAUCCUCGUUGCCAGGGGAUUUCGUUUUGGCUCUCAAUAAUAUUAAUGUGAUCGUACAUUUACAUUAUAAUAUUCGAGCCAGUAAUAUAAUUUCAUACAUUAAAAACACUGUUACCCUGACGUGUUGUCGGGGUCAUUUUUUGAAUUUUGUGUGUAGCGAAGAAUGUAUUGAUUUUAUAUUAAUAUGUUCAUAUUUUAUUAAUUUUUUUAUGUAUACCGUUGCAAAAAUGUCUACCAGAAAUUUUGCUUCGAUAUUUUAGGAGGUCAUUUUUUGAUUUUCUUGGCGGUUUUUUAAACAUCUGGGAAAACCCGGUAUAAAACGUAUGAAAAACGGGAAAAUUUACGAAAAUAAUGCUUUUAUAAUUCCGUUAAAAACAUUCGCAUUAACUUUGGACAGAAAACUUAUAUUUGUCUCAGGUAAAACAGUAAAAACAUUUGAUCCUUUUUAGCUAUUUAUAGACAUAUUAUUUUGUGAAAAUUUUUUUUUUUUCGUUUUUACGCUAUGGAUAAAAUUGUUAGGCUAAAUUUAUUGAAGAAUAAUCGUCUCGUCUCGGUCCACUAAACAGACGUAUUGUAAUAAUUAUUUUAUAUAGAUUAAUCGAUUAAUCGAUAAUCGUAUAAUUAUCGAUAUAUAUGAUAAAUUUUUACGUAUCCAGAAUACUCGCCGGUCCCUGAGCAUAGUAAAGAAAAAGCGAGGAGAGAUUAAAGUAUGUUCACAAAUAUAAUAUUAUAAUACGAACGUCUGCAUAUGGCGCAUGACAUAUAGGUAUAUGGAAAUAAUUUCAAUGGUAAAUUGAUGCCGUAACUGUUUGAAAUUGGUUAGGUUUGUACGUUGGUCUUAACCCAUAUUAUCGUAGUAUCGUCAACAGUAUCUCGACGAAUUAACGCGAUGGAGUCUACACAAUUCACGUUCGAAUCCGCCGACUAUAUGUAUAGGUUUUAGAUUUACUGUUAUUUGGACGCUAAUUUCCUCGGAAAAUGGAUUAUUGGCUUCGACCGACAUUAAACAUCCGUUUCGUUUCUAAUUCGUAUUUUUGUCGAAUUGAUUAGAAACCCUAUUGGAAUCGCGGCCAUAUUGAAUAAUUGGCCGAAAUCGGAAAACUGCAAUUUAUGCGAGUGUAUAGUGCCUAGACCCCGUGUACAAUCCGUUAAUAGGCGAUCCGUCUCCAGGGUGGGUCGCGGGUCCCGGGUUUCGGGUCUUGAGGUACAGGUUCUCGCGUGUAAAUGCACGCGGUCCGUCGUCCGUGAAAUGGCUGUCGGCGACGGUAUUUGAUUUUCGCGCGAGACAAUUGGAAACGGUCCCGUGGGCAUCCGCUGUACACGAUAUACAAUGAUAAUAAUAAUAAUAAUAUAAGACCGAUGGCUACGACGAUACUGUUGUUACACGGAGGCGGUGCCGACCACGCGGAUUCCGAAAUUUACAACGUCAUUUCACGGUUCGGUUCAGACGGCGACGACGUUCAGCCCGGGCGCGAUAAUAACGGCAAUAAUAACGAUAAUGAUAAUAAUAGCACUGAUAGUAAUAAUAGUUGUAGUAAUAAUAGUAAUAAUAAUAAUAAUAAUAAUAAUAAUAAUAAUAGUAAUGAUGAUAAUAAUCGACUCACGAUAACGACAACAACGACGGUGGCGACGGUGACAAUAACACACAGCGUUUUAUUAUAGUCCAAAUAGAUCCGUCCGAGCGAUUCCGACUCGACGGUGACUUUUUUCCCGGAGGAAGGUGCCGUUUCGUACUGCCGGAUGCGAAAUAAACGUGAAAUCGAUACCGAAAACGCGCGACACAAUAACGACUUAAGAUUCUGAGCUUAGAGGAAAAUGUGUCGGUUUUACUAUGACGCGAGUGUAUGCGUGCCUGUAAACAACUUUUCUACAGGAAAUCUUGCUCUAUUUAAAAUAUAAGGAGUGACUUUUUUUUUUUUUUUGAAAUUUUGAUCUAAUUGGUACAUUAAAAAAAACAGAGACUUUUUCAGUUAACGUUUGGAGAACAUAAUAUUAUAGAGAUCGAUACCAAAACACAUUAGAGGACAGUUCUGGAACACAAUCCAAUAUAGGUAAACUGUAUUUGCGUAGGUGGAAAUAAAUGAGUAGAAACUUUAGGGAGUGGACGAAAUUGUAAGGUUUUAGCGAUGGAAAAAGUUAUCUUGAUUAUCUUUAUUGUGAGACGAUCCUAAAUGAUGAUAACAAUAAUAAUGUUCAUUAUUGUGUCGAGUUUGUCCGUUGAAAAGGUAGCAAUGAUAUUGUUGUUACCGUAUGUUGUGUAGAAUAGUCUGAGAGAAGAUAACAAUGAAAAUAACAAGGAUACCGUUUACAAUCGGGAUGCAUUUUUCUCAGCAAGAACUCGGUUUAUCUACCUAUCGUUAAAGGGAUAAUACUGCCGUCGAUUUGUCAAACCCGCGAAUGAUAACGAUCCCAAUGACCCUAAGUCAAUCGAAAAAUGUGCUUUUCAAAAAAAAAAAAAAAAAAAAAAAAAGAAAAAAAGAUGAGCGACUAUAAUAUCGUACUCAAUUAUUCCGUCGGCAAUUUAAAAACGAAUGUUUUCAUCGAAAUUCAUACCUAUCUACAAUAAUAUUUAUGUAUAACGAAAUAAAAAUAUUAUUAGGUACCAUGUAAUUUAGGUACCUACCCUUUAUAAAAUGUACACAACUAACUACCUUUAUAUAUUUUUUUUCAUUUUUUUUUUGCAGCUUGAGGCCUCGCAAAUUUUAAUGAUGCUUGAAACCCGGGAAAAGUGUUUUUAAGUUACAUACACACUCGUGUGUUUACAUUUUCGAUGUUAUGUCUUUCCGAGAGCUUGUAAUCGGUAUAAUAAUCGCUUUUCGGAAAUAAAACGGUAUUCUCGUUCUGUUUAUAUAAUCUCCUGUACAAAUACUGUAUCGUAUUACACGAUUAAACAAAUCAUUAGCUAAGUCCUUGUCUGAGAGACAAACAGAGAAAGAGAGAGUGAGUGAGUGAGACGAGGAGUAGGAGGAAAGAGUAAAAACUAAUUUAGUUUUUCUUUCGUAUAUUACAACCAUAAGGGGUCGAAAAAAAAAUAUUCUUCUAAUAAUUAAAAUAUCAAAAUGAUAGAGUACGGGGUAAUUUUUAUAUAACCACUACCCAUAGUUAGUAAAAAUAAAAAAUUAAUUAAAGCUUGUUUUUUUUUUCUUUUUAAUGAAUUAACCACGUUUAAAAAUCUAUAAAUCUAAAAAUAUAAAAAAAAACAUAAAAACACAUAGGUAACUAUUCAACACACCUACCUAUUUUUAUUUUUUUUUUUGUUUUUAUUAUUAUAUAAACUUUAAAAAAUUACGUGCAGUUGUCAGCUGUCUUUUUUUUUUUUUGUUGUUAAACAAACGUACAUAAUGUAAUUUUAUUUUAGUUAAUGAAAAAAGUAUAUUCCUGCAAAGGUAUUUGAAAAAGGUCAAGUGGUUAUAAAUAUGUUUAUAAUUAUUUUGAUAAUGCUGCAUUUUGAUGCAAAACUAUUAUUAUUGUUAUUGAAUAUUAAUAUUAAUAGCAAUACCUGGUUUCUAAAAGUAUUUUUUAAAAAGUGUAAGAACAUAAAUGGAACAAAUUUGUACACAUCGAAACGAUUAAAAUAAUUUAAUUUUCAAAAGUAACGUGUAUGACUAAUUUUCACCUAAAUUGUAAAAAUUUUUAUCACAGUUUGGUAAAUACGGUUAAUGCGUUUAAGUAUUCUAGUGAUUUGGUUUUGAAAUUCUGAAUCCAGCGAAAAAGCUAAUAUAGUUAAUAUACCAAGAUGUAUUUUUUUUUGCUUUUUUUAUUCGUCCUUUAGAUGGUGUUUAUUUUCUGGACCAUAAAAUCACAACAGCGUAACCAGUUACAUUGUGGUUACCAGUUAUACAAAAAUAUAAAUAUAAUCGCACACGCGAUUAGUACCUUUAGUAUCUUUAAUAUUACGGUGAAAUUCAUGCCGUGAAGAAAUCAAUAAAACUUAAGUAUGAACAAUAUAUGGUGCAACCAAAGAGUUAGGGUUUCGGAUCCUCAUUUCCAUUCCAUUAUACAUACUGCCUUUCAUCCAUCCCGGUCGCCCUUGUCUUCCAAUCUGUUUCUCUUCCUGGACUUCCAUUUCGUUCUUCAUUAAGUCUUCCCAUAUCGUACUUGGUUUUCCAAUGGGUAUUUGUUUUAUUUGAUUGUUUUCUAGUACUGUAAGGAUAGGUGCCCUGCUCACUACAGACUUUUAUUUAUGACUGUUUCAACGAUAUUCGGUUUUNUUUGAUUGUUUUCUAGUACUGUAAGGAUAGGUGCCCUGCUCACUAUAGACUUUUAUUUAUGACUGUUUCAACGAUAUUCGGUUUUUGGUAUAUUGAUUCUAAUUCCUGAUUCUUAACAAUUGUUUCCGCUGUCUUUCACACGCAUAAAUAUUCCUCACAGAAUUUUCUUUCAAAAGUGAAAAGUAAAUUAUUGUAAAUUACUGUACAACAAUACCGAAUGAUGUUGGUGAUAUACAUAAUCGUAAUAUAGUACUGUUACGCAAAUAGUAAAAAUUAUUAUCACAAUUUAUAUCUUAACAAUUAUUUUAGAUUUUAAUAAUAAUAAUCAUCAUAUUUAAUCAAGGGAAAAACAAAAAUUAUAUUUUUUUCCCGUGUAAUUGGUAUAAGAGAAAUUGUUAUGACAGAAUUUAACAAACUAUUUAACGAUUCCAGUUUAAUAUUAAAUGAUUUUGCGAUUAUAAUUAAAAUUUCUCAAUUAGCUAUGCAUCAAAAACAAUGCGUGAAUAUUUCAAGAAAAGGUCUUGAAGAAUAUUUGAAAAUUAUUUUAUAAAAUAAUCCUUUUCUUGAUUAGUUUUUCAACAACUGAAUGAUGAUUUUAUAAAUCAUGAAAAUAUUAUUAGGGCAUUUCAGAUGUUAAUUAAAAGUUUAACAGUUAAUGGAGAAAAACUCACAGAACUUGUUGAAUUUUAAAGUACUGACGUUGAUAGUUUUGAUAGAGUAAAAUCAAAAGUUUUAUUGUGGAGUCAUUAUUUAAAUAAGAUAGUGACAUUAGACUAAAAAAAAAGGCCUAAAUAAAUUAAUAAAAAAACGUCUUAAAUAAAUGCAAUGCCGAUUUAUUUCUAAACCUGUCUAAGCGCUGAUCACAUCUUGUGAAACUGAAAGGUCAUUAUUUGUACUUGAACGCAUAAAAAGUUAUUUCGGAAACUUUAAAUUUCAACCAAUGGCUCUCAAUAUUCACCAUACCCGUGAAAUCAAUGUCGAAUUCAAAGAAAGGAUACUUUGUUUGGCAACUUAGAAACGUCGUUAGGCAUUUAUUUUAUAAUUUUGGUAAAUUUCAUUUAUAUUUUAUCAAUUCAAUUUUUUUUUUUUUUUAUAAUAGCAAAAUUGAUACGUAAUUUAUGGCGUUGAUUAUUAAAAUUAAAACUCGAGAUUUUUAUGCUUAAUAUUAUUUUUAAAUGUAUAAUUAUUGUGCAUCUACCCUUAGGAUAUUUAUGAAUGCGCUAAUGUGAAAUGUAAUCAAUAUUGUUAGUAGGUAAUUUAAAGUAGUUUUGAUAACGGUUCAUUCAUUACUAAUGAUCUGUUUGAAUAAUGCACAACUUUAUAUUAUUAUAUGAUAGUUUGUUCUUUAAUCAAUGAAGAAUUAAGAUUACGAUUAUUUAAAUAUUAAACUUAGUAAUAACACAUCGUUUAAGUAUAUUUCAAAACUUUAAUUAUAUAAUAUUCAAAUGUGGAUCGAUGUGUUUUAUAAUACAAUAUCGGGCGUGCCCGUGAUACUGUAUUCAACAGAUUUUAGUACACCGCGUAUAAUAUGUUAGUAAAACGUGGAUGGUUUCAACCACUUCAGCCCCCCUCCACACCUUUGCCCAUUUACGAAACAAAUCAAUGCAUAUUUAAAUUUCAAAUAUUAUACUUUUAUCAACAGCCAUUAGAAAGUUUAAACGUUUUAAUAACGUAUAUUGUGAUAAUAUUAUGGAAAUAAACGAUAGCAGAUGGUUUGAAUGCGAUUUAUUCGGGUAUUUACCUACGCCUUAGAAAUAAGAAUAAUUUAAUACGUGUACAAUUGAUGUGUGCUAUAUAGCUUAAAUGCAUUCUAUAAUAUUCAAUAACGUUCGGAACAUUGAAAACGGAAUCUUCUUUGCUAUACAUUGCAUAAAGACGGAACGUUGUUUUCGUAUUUCGCGUGUGAAAAUUCGUGAACUACGUACCGAUAUCGAUUGGAUGUUCAUUGAUAAUUUUUUAUCGCCAACGGAAUGUGAUAAGGUAUUCCUCCUUUAUGCAUUCUAUCAAAACAGGUUAAUAUUAGAGACACGUGACACUAAGACCUGCAAGAAUUUCUCGUUUAAACGCGAUAAUAUUAUCGACGAUGGCGAUGAGCGUGAUGAGCUAGGGUUAAAGGAGUUUUUAAAUAUCACGGCACGGCUAGUGAAUGAAUUUGGCGCGAAAGCCCAUCAAUGUUUAACAUUCUCAACAUUCUCACUUAGGGUCUUAUCUGGCGAUGCUUCGAGGGGUCAAUUCCCCCCGAAAAUUUUGUGUUUUACAAUCAUAUUAAGAUCUCAACAUUUUACAUUUGCCAAAUAAGAUUCUUCCGUACUCCUGGAUUUUUUUUCUCGGUACUUACACGUUUUAAUAUGUUACGCUUGCGCUCUUCUAGUUACCAGACGACAUUCGCUCAAGCAAAACGUUUGAAAACGAAACAGAUAACACAGCGGCAUUGCAAUAACGAUAUGGUUAGUUUUAUUUCGAGUGUUGUAUCGAGCCCCGUAGUUUUAACAAGGUUCGGCGGUCCAGGGCAUGUUAUGCCGGCCGUCGCUCGGCCGUUUAAAUUGCGGCUAUUGCGAGCGUUCCAAACGGCUUUCGACUUGUCCUUUUCCGUCGAAAAACGAAUCGGCGGCUAGUAAGGCGUUUAGAUUUGCAACAUUUAAUUACCCGAGACGAAGUGGAAUCGCAAAAAAAAAAAACAAAAACAGUGCCGGUUAAAUAUCGCCGGUUUCUCGCCGCUCCGCCAGCCGGGACCAAGGACAAUACCGGGCACAACGACGGGAACGCCUGCGCGGCGGUUUUCCGGUGCCCCGGUUUCGCGUACGGGCUCUCGCGUUAUACCGUAUCGAUAACGAUAAUGGCCAUUACCGUCGCUCCCGGAAGAGAAGUGCGUACGGUCUCGGUUGGCGAAAUUAAAUUGCGAUUCGAAAAAGUGACGGGGGUCACGCGGACACACCGGGGGCCGCCGCGAAACACGCGAACACGCACGCCCCGUGCGCGCACGCCACGUGCGUACGCCGGGCACGCUCGCUCCGCGGGUGUCGCGGCCCCGGGAGAGCCGGACAGCGGGGCAAACGGAUCGCGGGCGGCGUCACGUGAUAAUUAUUUAUUUAUUUAUUUAUUUAUUUUUUUUUUUUUUUUAUACGUUUACGCGUGUGCGUUUCUUCCGUUUUUAUUAUUAUCACGCGCGCACACACGAGGCGGUGGUCAUUCGUUACGUUGCGGCCGCGCCGACAAUAUCGUUUAUAAAACGUAGGAAGUAGAAGCACGGCGCGGGCCCGUAAAAACCGGUUCCCCGAUUCACGCGCGUCCCCGUUCCGCCGAAAACGAAACAGACGCACGGAUUGCCGUUCCCCGCCAAAUAUGAUUUUGGGAGGUACCGCGCAAUUACGCACCGUCAAAUUGUAAUAUUGAUAAUAAGCCGUACGGGUGCAAUUGAAUUAUAGUAUUUUUUUUUUUUUUUUUUUCAAACCGUACAUUUAAAUUACACCGUAAAAUUAAAAUACGACAUAAUUGUUAAAAGAAAUUUUAAUUGGGUUUUUUUUUUUUUUCCACUUUUUUUUAAUAACUAUUUCUUCACUUGUUUUUAACCAGUUUUAUAGUCUUUUUGCAAUAUUUCUUGUGCUUUUUUUUAUAACUGUUAAUUUGUACACACAUCCGUCUGUAUUGCGUCUUUUAAUAUUUUCAUCUACUAUCGAUUAUCUACCGCCGUACGUAUAUGUGUGUAUAUAUAUAUAUUAAAACGAUUGGCCCCCGAACUAUAUUUGGCGGAAAAAAGAGCCGCGGCGGAAACGGCCGUCACCGAAACCGACGAUAACGACACCGGCAGAGUAAAAACCGGAUUCGUAAAAUCCGUCGAACCGCGAAUUACGAGACGAUCACCCGACCAAACGCGUUUCGAGUUCCCGAGCCGCGUAAUCGCCGUUUCAGGUGCACCGUAGGGCCGUUAAAUCACUAGUCGGCGGAAACGACACGUAACCAUAUAGGGUCCUUUUUUAUUUUUCGGGGCGGUGAAGAAAUCGAACACAUUUUUUAAAUUUUAAUCGCAUAUUAUCUAAGAUGACCGUGUUCACAUUUUAAAGAUGUUUUAUUUUUAUUUAAAAAAAUAGAAAUGUCUUAAUAAGUACAAUCGGUCAUGCAUUUUAAUACAUUCAAUCAAAUUUAUACACCGAGCAUUAAAGACCGCGGGAGUCUCGAUUUUCAAGGGAAAUUCGACAACAAUUAAGAGUAUAAUAACAACAAUAAUGACAAUACAAUUUUAGUAAUAUUUUAAUUUUAAAUUUUCCUUUGCCUGCGAACACUGAACAAUCCGAAAAUGGCCCAACAUCAUUUAACAACGAUAAAGAGAUACAGAGAGAAACAUCAAACAACAUUUAUACCAAUCAUGUUUAUCAAAACAUACAUGUUGGUUUUUGUACAUAAAAUAUAACAAAAUCUAAUGAAGAUAUUAUAAUUUUCGAAGGCACAACAAUACAUUUUUCUAAACAAAUAUUAUUUUUAAUCAAGCAAAAGUACAGUCGAGUUUUUUUUUUUUGAUUAUUUAAGUGGCUAUACAUUUUAACGUUUACCAUAGUUUACCAUCAAGUUUAUGAUAAAAACUGACAAUAAAUAAUAAAUACAAGAUAAUAAAUACAGGUUUAUGUAUGCCUAUAAAGCCUAUAAAAAUAUAAUCACCUCGGGAUUACCACCGGGUAACUCCUUCAAUUCAAAUGUUCCGUGUCCUUUAUGUAUACUAUAUAUAUUAUUACGACAAAUUCUUAUAAGUCUUUAGUAUAGUAACAUAAUACAUUUAUUAUUAUGAAACAACAUAUUAUUCUAUAGAGAAAAAAAUCAAUAGUAUUCCCUUGCACAUGAAUUUAUUAUUUAAAUGUAAUAAUAAGUGGAAAAUAUCAGUUUUCUGGCGGAGACGACCCGUAAUAAAUUACGAUUGAUUGCUUAUUAAUUUCACAAUCUUGAUUUAAUAAUUUCGUUCGAUUAUUUAUGUGGUAUUGUAGUUGAUUUUCAUCCCUAAAAAUGUACACUUGGACAUUUUAUUAUUUUACCCCGUUUUAGGGCAUUGAAUUUAUUUUUCCCAAAGUCAACAAAAUUCCUGUAUGGCGAAUUCUCUCCCAUUUAUUAUCUUAAAAAUAGCUUCUGUUAUGAGAAAUCUUACAAAUACCUUAUGUAAUUAUUCGGAAGUAUAUACUAAAAUUUUCCAAUAACUAUUGAAACAAUUUUUUUUUUUUUUCAGUCAAAUAUGGUGGAUUUAAGAUAAAAUAUUAACAUAAGAUGAACAAAAAAAUCAAUUUAAAAAGUAAAAAAAAAAAAACACUCAAAAAAGCACUUUAAAAUGGCGGAAAAUCGUAGAGGAGUAACACAAAAAAAAUUAUAUAGGUUAGAGGCUUUUAAGGUGGAUUUUUUUUUGCUUUAAAAAUACAUUAAAGUGAUUUUUGGUUGUUUUUUUUUUUUUGACGUUUUGUGCGCCUUUCAUAAUAUACAUUUCGUUUAUUUACAUACAUCAUUAUUUUUAGUAUCCUUUAAUACUAAGUAAAGCUUAGUUUAUUUACCUUAUAUCGUACGUUCAGUCUCCACGCUACUAUAUACGUGUCUAUUCAUAUUAUUUUUUAACACCGAGUAUUAGAAUUAGACGUAGUAUUCAUUUUUUUCGAGUCGAGUACCUACUCAACCAAAUGUACUGAGUACUAUACUUAUUGUCUCUUGGUAUCUCACAAAGUGGGCAGCUCACUUGAAAUGAAACUCGUGAACUAUACUUAAUCAAGGGUCGUUCAGAGAGAGAAAGACAAUGUAACCAUUUUUCUCCGUUUUAAGAAAUUGUCCAGGGUAAGGGGCAAUUAAAGUCACGGCCCUAGAAAUUACAAUUUUUCUUGUAUAUUUUUAAACAAAACCCUUUAAAAUAUGUUCACUUUUAAUUUUGAAAUAACAGUUUAAACUCUAAUUUCAAUCUAAACGUCAAGUUCAAGGUCCGAAGAACGAAAUUUCCCCGUUUACCCUGUUGGACCAAAGCGAUUACAGUAAAACCAAUUGUAAAAUAUUGUGCGAUAUUUCUAGUAUGUGUUUUCACCGUUUUAUAUUUUAUAUUUUACAUUGUAAUUACAGGUAAAAUGUAGAAUGUAAACAAACAUAUACAAAGGGAUAUUUCCCAAACAGCCACGCUGUUAUUACUAAGCGGGGAAAAAGGCUAUUGGUCCAAAUGCACGGCGCUCCUCUCUUUUAGGACACGGUAAAACAGCAUUUUUAAAAUUGAAAAAAUAUUAAUUCCUUCCCAUCGUUUAUAUUCGUCCAGCAGAAGCUAAAACUAUGCGUUUUUGUGCCCCAGAGUGACGUACGGUACGAAAUGUAAAGUUUGCAUCUCGGAAUUUUAGUGUGCUGUAAAAAAAAAAAAAAAAAACGCAGUGCCCGCACGUUGCGACGUAUGGGCACUGCGCACGGACGAUAAAUAUUACAAUGCGCCCGGCAAUAACACUGGUACGCCUGAGACCCGACCGCGGCCCGCGUUCGUACACGCGUGUGUACGUUACACGUCGGUCUCGUCUUUCCGGCCGGGUCGCGCGCGGCCGUGCGAUUAUCGUUAGUAUAAUUAUCAUUAUUGUUAUUGUACGUCGGAAUCGGAAUCGUCUCGGACAAUUACCGUCAGGCGGAGAGCCGGGUUUCCGCGUCAUCAAACGGAAACGGGCCGUUGUAAUAAUGCGCGCGUGGGCGUUGUUCCGUGUUAAAACGGCUCUUCGGCCGAACAGAAAUACCGCCGCGGACGACGUCUACGGGCGAAACGCGCGGUUCGCCGCGGCCCGCGCACGACCGAAUCGAACGGUUCCGCGGUGCGUACGGCCGAGCAACAAUCGUGCGGUACCGACGAUUAUUAUAAUGUGCCCGAUUGUCGCUGUCGCCGGGGUCCUUUUGCCGGGUUCGCCGGGUAGCUAGUCUCGGGUAGCCCGUUUCGGCGCCAAUCAUGUUCUCACUUUUCGGGUGAGUUUUCGUUUCGAUUUGCGCGCGGGUACAAAAACGGACGAUUCGAAACGCGCUCCUCGCGUAUAAUGUGCCCGUCCAAUUUUCCGAAAAUUUCCGACAUUUCGAUAGAUCACGUGGCGGGACGAAACGUCGACCGAUAGCAGUAUCGCAAUAGCGGCGCCGUCCGGUAGAAACCGGUAGAAAUGCGAUUUUUUUUUUUUUUUUUUAGAGAUAGGGUAUAUGAUUUCAUAAUUUUAAUUCGCGCGAUAGUUCCAUUCAAAUGCUACGGGGAUAUUAUGCGUUUGUAUUCUGAUGGAACAACAUGUAUAGGUAGCGGACAAUUUUUCAAACAUGACAUUGUUGCACGGAGUACAUUGUUUUUUCGGGGUAUUUUAACACCGGUUCAACUAGUUUAAAAGCCGGUAAAACGUCAUUUGAACUCUCGAUACGAGUUUUGAAUAACUAAAUAUUAGACAAAUAUGCAGCCUAUCAUAUUGCCACUGCUAGAUUAUAGUUACGGCUUAUAAAAUGUUUAGUAAAAUAUGUAUUGUCAGGGAGGGGAUGUAUGUACAUACUGGGUAUUUAUUUAGUAAUCCUAAAUUAACCGACCGACGGUAAGCCGUAUCUAGAGAUUAAAAACGAGUUAUUCCAAACAUUGAAAAGUAAUAUAAAUAAAAAUUGGUUUUUCGAAAUUGAUAUUAUCACGUUAUUAUACUGCUAUAAUUAUGAAUUCAUUAUUUUAGAAGAUAUUUAAAACGGGUAUGCCAUUAUUGUUGAUGGGAAGUUGAGAAAGUAGGGUGCGUACAAUUAUUAAUUUUUGUUUAUGCGAUUCGAUUGGUUUGAGUUAUUUUGUUUCGGUUAAAACUUAAAAAAUAAUUGGGUUUCGAUUAAAAUUGGUUGGUGUUGUAUAUUUUUCCAAAAGGUGUAUAAAGCGUCUAAAUAAAUUACAUAUAACAGUGGUUACAACCGUUCCCAUUAUACUAGGACGGCUUUUUCGGUUCCUAUCCUGGUGGUUUUUCAUUGGAAAACAAGUUUUGUUCGUGGCCUCGAGUUUCCGAGUGCACUAGUCUAUGGGUUCUUUCACACAAUGUUUCCGCUGUGGGUUUCGGCCACCCACCUGGCGCCGGAUUCUCCAUAAUGCUGAAGUCUUUAAUGUCAAUUUCGUAGUGACCGCCCGCAACUUCAGUGUAUUCUAUGAAAAGCGAAUCGAUUUAGUUAUUGUGUUUCGGUUAGUAUUUUAAAAAAAAAUCGGAUUACAAUUAAUAAAUUGUUUGCGUUUUAUUUUUUCCGAGAAGCGUUCAAAGCGUCUAAAUAAAUUACCCAUAACAGUGGUUACAGCCGUUCCCAUUAUCCUAGGAUGGCUUUUUCGUGUCCCAUCCGGAUGGUAUUAUUAUUGAAAAACAAGAAUUGAAUUUUAUUUUUUUUCGUAAAUGUCCGCCGUAGGUUUCGACCAACCACCUGGCGUCUGAUUCUUGGCUGAAGCUUCUGACGAUUAGUUUCGCAGUGACCACCCGAAACUUCAGUGUAUUCUAUGAAAAGCGAAUCGAUUGGUUUUAAGUUAUUGUGUUUCGGUUAGUUUUUGUAAAAAAAAAAAAAAUCGUGUUUCAAUUAAAAAUGGUUUGUGUUAUUUAUUUAGAAAAGAGUUCAAAGCGUCUAAAUAAAUUACCCAUAACAGUGGUUGCAACCGUCUCCAUUAUCCUAAGACAGCUUUUUCGGGUUGCAUCCUGAUGGUUUUGUCGUUGGAAAACAAGUUCGUGGACUCUCGAGUUUCUGAGUGCACUAGUCCAUGGACUAUUUCACAGAAUGUUCCCGAGGGUUUAUUCACGCAUAUGUCCGCUAUAGGUUUCGGCCACCCACCUGGCGCCGGAUACUCCAGAAUGCUGAAGUCUUUAAUGUCAAUUUCGUGGUGACCGCCCGCAACUUCAGCGUAUUCUAUGAAAAGCGAAUCGAUCGGUUUUAAGUUAUUGUAUUUCGGUUAGUAUAUGAAAAAAAAAAAAUCUGGUUACAAUUAAAAAUGGUGUUUUAUUUUUUCCGAAAAGCGUUUAAAACGACUAAAUUAAUUACCCAUAACAGUGGUUACACUCGUUCCCAUUAUCCAAGGACGGCUUUUUUGGUUCCCAUCCGGAUGAUAUUUUCUUCGGAAAACAAGGAUUGGUUGUGAACUGGGUGCAGUUAUUCGUGGCCUCGAUUCUUUUACACACGAGUCUACGGAUUUUUUCACACAAGAAUGCACUAGUAAGGUGUUCAAAAUGUUUUCAAGGCGUUUGAAGUGUUUGAAUAAAGACGUGUGGUCACCGUGACUGUCGCUCACAGAAUGAUGAAAAAUUAUUAGACCCUUGCAGUAUUGUUUAAAAUCCUCGUUGCCAGGCGAUUUCGAUUUAGCUCUCAAUAAUAUUUUAUAGUAUUUUUGUACAUUUAAAUUAUAACAUUUGAGCCAGUUAUAUAAAUGCAUACAUUAAAAAUACUGUUACCCUGACGUGAUCCCGUCCGCAUGGUUGAAAAACAAGGAAUGAUUGUUGGCCGAGCGCGAUUGUUCAUGGCUUCGUGUUUAUUGCACACGGGUCUACUUGUUAGGUGUCUAGUAAUUGUUCAAAGUUUCGAAAUAAAGUGUUCGAUUACUAAGACUGUCAAUUGUGAAAUAACGACGAGAAACAUUUAAACAAUUUUAGUAUUGUUUAAAACCGUUUUGUUAGGGGAUUUUGAUUUGGCCAACAAAAAUAUUAAGAACUUUAUUAUCAUACAUGUACGAAUCUAAUCACCAGUAUUUACUAAGUGUUUCAAUACAUUUAUAUUUAUUUUAUACGACAUACAUAUUGUUAAAUAACAAUAAUAUUACCCAAUUUUCGCUCAGAAUAGUUUUUUUUUUUUUUUUAAUAUUGAUUAAUGAUCAAUGAAUAAUUUUUGCUUAUAGAUAUACAUUAAAUUUCGUUCUAUACCGUACCUUCCCAACUUUUCAUAUACAACAGUGGUCGACACCGUGGUUGAUUUAGUCACUUAUUAUAUCAUUUUAAUAAUAAAAAAAAAAGUAAAAGAAAAUAGAUAUAUCUUACAUAUAUAUUAUGGCGAUAGUUGUUAAUUGCUAGCGGAAAGCUGAUUUUCUUUCCCGUACUUACAUUUUGCAAAGUAGGCAAUAGUAGUAAUAUUUUAUAAUUUGUUUGAGUUUUGUCAAACGCGUUGGCAUUGUUAAUAAUGUUAUAAUAUAUUUAACAUAGGUGCUUGUAUUGAUCGUUAUCUGAUUUCUUAUUACAAAAUAGUUAAAAUCAUGAUUUUCAUGAGCUAACUGAAUUUGAUUUUAUAGCGCACGGAAAUCGAUUAAUAUGAGUUAGAAAUAAUCAAUAAAAAUAAUGAAAAAAUUAAAACUACAUUUUCAUUAGUAUAGAAAAAGAAGAAUACAAAUAAUUGCAUCAAUAGAAUUAAGGAUAAUUGCGGUGGACAGUGACCAAACGGUUAUCCUGUUUAAUUCUAAAUAAGCGGUGGUUGAGACAACUAUGACUAUUGACUAGCCCAUUUCAAAAACUGAAAAAAAAAUCAUCGAGAACGAUUUCUGAGGAAAAUCACUAUAAAUUAUGAUCGAAAUAUUGUUGACUAAUGUUGUCACUGAACAAAGCAGUUUAAAAAAAAAACCAAUUUCCCAACCUUUACAUUUUUAUAAUUCGUUUAAUGUUUUUUAUGAAACAAGUAUAAAGUGAUAGGUAGCCAGGUAGCUAUUUGUAAUUAAUAAACACACGUGACAAUUAAAUCGUUAUAGUUGUAAUCUCGUUUUGUUUCAUUUUAUAAUAAAUUAUAAUGUCAUAUACCUACCUAUAAAUUCUAACUUAGCGAUUAUUAUUUAGUCUAUAAUUGUUUUAAUAGAAUAUAACAUAUCGUAUGAAAAAAAUGUAAAUUGCACAGAUAAAAAGCGUUAUUUAAAAUCAAAUAUGUUAAACGCAAAAUUUGUAUUUUAUCGAGAGUAUUCAAAAUAAGUUAUACAGUUAUAUAGUAUGAUUUCGCCAGAGUAAACCAUAAGCCCGGAUAGCUCAGUCGGUAGAGCAUUAGGCUUUUAACCUAAGGGUCUAGGGUUCAAAUCCCUAUCCGGGCGGAAAUUUUUUGCAGUUUUUUUUUAUAUAUUUCAUUUUUAUUUUAACAGUAGUGUAAUUAUUUUUUUACUAAUAUAUUUUAUUUGAAAUAUACAUGGUGUUAAAAAUUUUUUUAACAUUUUUUUUUCGAUUCAUUAUUUUUAAAUUUAAAUAAUAAAUAUUUGUGAGUUAAAUUUUAAUGCUCAACAUAAAAAUAUAAAAUCAUUAUUUUUUUCAUUAGCUAUUAGUAAAAAACUAAAGGAAAGUUAGUAAAGUAAGAUACAUGUUAGGUACAGUAAGGUACAUGUUAUUUAAUUUAUAAAGAUUUAAUUCGUAAAGAUAAACCAAGGCUAACGAAAAAGUUCGACAUGCAUAUAAAUGCAGUAAUUUUUACAAUUUUCGUUAAAAUUGUAUAAUAAAAUGUUUAUGAAAAGUAAACUAAUGCAUUAAACUCAAAUUUAUGUUUAAGCCAAUGAGCACAACUUAUCUAAUGUACCAUGCGUUUAAUUGUCAAGCAUUUUUCUUAAGUUAUAUAAAUGUAAUAACAGAUACCAACCAAAAAGAAUUAAUAAAAAACAUAAAAAUACGAAAGUAUCAGAUACUUAUAAAAAUAUUUGGACAAUUUUACCACGUCUACAAAAGGUAUACAUAAGUAUUUUGUAAAAACUGCAAUGCUUAAAUAUUAAAUGAAACAAAGUCAAUUUCUUGUCAUUUUUUAAUUGGAGUAAGUUUUUUGAUAGAAAACAUCACUUGUCAAAUUAAAGUAAUUUUCACGUAAAUAUUUAUCAUUAGAAAAUAUAAUUUAAAUUAAAUUACCAAUUUUUCAAAUUUAUUAGGAAAAUUCCUGAGAAAAUCAAAAAAACGACCUCAAUGCACCUUCCCGGUCAGAUUUUCUUUUAAAAAGAGUUCUAUCAUUUUAAUGCAACGAUUAAAAAAUAUAAUAUUAUUCUAUAUAUUAUCACCUGUUAUUAUAAGUUUUUUUCGUAUUGUCAUGUUGUCAAUUUGUAUAAUAUACAAUGGCCCCGGGGCAUUGCCCCCUGUUCGCCACCCCGUAAUUACCCCAUUGACUCGUAGAUGAACUCGGCUGAGCGACGAUUGGUGUUGCCUGUUUAUAAUAAACUCAUGCCGUGCUAGUGUAAUGAACACUGUUCACGAAUAUUUCAAAGUAGGUAUGAUUACGAAUCCUUAUCAGUGAUCAUUUUGAAUAAUUCAUACAAAAAAUGAUUUGAUAUAAUGAAUUAUCAGAUAAAUAAUUAUUAUAAUAAUAACGAUUGGAAUGAUUGCCCGAUGUAAUGCGUAUGUAGAAAUAUGCUGCCAGGUACACCGUGAUUUAUUGGUUUAUACACACACAAUUGGGGUUUUUUCUAUCCAAUUAACAAAAAAAAAAACUGUUUUCUCUAUUAUACGGUAUUUUGUUUACGGAACGAAGGUGUUUAAUCUAAAAAUUCUUGAAAAUAAUUAUAGGCAUACAAAUUGUAACAUGUUUUUAUUAAUUCAUCAUUGCACAAACCACUGGAUACAUCCAGCUGAAAUUCGGCGUAGAGAUUAGUUUUUAUAGCGUAAACAUCCGCUAAGAAAAAAUUUUGGAAAUUCAACCACUAACGGGGUAAACUAUGUAAAUUAGAAUACCUGUCUGAAUAGUAAUAUUGUAUAGGUAAUUCAGUAAAAUAAUAAUAAUAAUAAUAAAAAUAACAAGGUUUUUUUUAAAAACGAAAUUAUAUUCAAUGGUUGUUGUUAGAGUUGUUCAGAUUUGUACUUAUCCCCUAUAUGGACGUAAAUUAGGAUAUUUUUUAAUUUUAAAACUUUAAAUAUUUUUCAGGCUCACCCAUUAAACCUAUGUAUACAACAAUGAACUACGAAAACUAUUGAGUCAAUCAAACGUUGUUACCCGUGUCGAAUUGAAUCUGAAGUUUGAAUUAGUUCGAAUUUUUUAACAUUUAUGAGAAUUUGUUAUAUAUUUUUUGAAUAUUUCGCAAUUCAUUAGGUGAAACGAAAUUAAUUUUAUUAGAUGUUUAAAAAAAAAAAAAAACAUUUACCAAAAUAAAUGUAUCAAUAUACUUUUCUGUAAAAUAUAAAAAAAAAAAUUAAAUAGGAAUUAUAAUUAGUGUACUAUUUUUAAGAUAGAUGAAAAUGUUUUUUUUUUUUUUUUUAUUAUUUAACCUCGUCAUAUUGUAUUCAAUUCAUAUAUUAGACCAGUUAAAAUACACUUUUUAAAAAGUCAUUCAGUCAUGCGUUCCGGCUUCGUCAUUUCAAAAUAUGGAAACCUUUUAAUGACCGUAACAUUAUGUACAGGGUGAUUAUAUUACCAUGACUCUAAAUCAAUUUUAUUUGUUAUCAAAUUCAUCCAUGAUUGAAACUAUUCCUAAUAUCAUAUACUCGACUAAAGUAUCCAUUUUAUUAUCUUUGACAAUAAUGACGUGGUCAGAGUUUCACUCUACAAUUGUUUUAAAAAAAUAUUAUUACUAGUUUAUUUCAUAUUUUCUCUGAGUGAAAUGAUGCAGAUAUUAGUUUUUUUUUAAAACAUACGCUGGUAUUUCAUAUUAUUGUAACUCUAAAUGAUACAAUUUAUCCGUCUAGUAGUAUUUUAUUUACACAUUCAAUUAAAGAGUCAUAACGGUUUUUCUUGGACAUUGAAAAAACCGACAGCAGGACGAUACGUUGGUUAUUUUUUUCUGAUUUCCGUGUUGCUUUGGUUACAACGAAAAACCACGGCUAUUAUCUAAUGUUUCCGGUUUACUGAGUUACGCGAUAAAAUACUUUUUCGAUUUUAAUGAUUUAUCGUAGCUCUCGGCAUAUAUAAACUUAAUUAUCCUACACGUUAUCCAUAGACGUACACCAGAAAAAGAAUUAAUAUUGGCCACGUGUGAAAUUUGAGAAAUCAACAGUGUCGAGUACCCAUAGUAGACUAUUAUUUAAAAAUACGGUUAGAUCCGAUAGGACACACGUUCAACGAGUAAGUAUCGAUAAUUCGGUGUCAGUACUGGAAAACUAGCGGUCGGAAGGUGAUUUCCCCAGAGUUACCAUUCUGUACCCGAAAAACGCUGCUAACACCCAAUGCUUUUCAAUAAUCACUUCUCCCCCCCCCCAAAAAAAAAAAAAAAAUCCUAGACGUUUAUGUCUCUUAGAUUAAACCAUAGAAUAAAUCAUUUUUUUUUUUUUUUUUACCGUAUGAGAGAACGAUAUCGGAUUAUUCGAUGUAAGAAAAAAAGAAUUUCAAAAAAAAAAAAUGGUUGGCGUUUACCUUGUUUAUACAAUAACCAUCGAACAGUUUCGAAACCGAAACACAUUUCAUUCGGUACGAAAUAACUUUAUUACUUUUUAGCCAUAUAGAUAGAUAUAAUAGCGAAAUAUAUAUACUCAUACGAUUGGAAAGUUUUCUCUUUCGACCGGGACUUUUUCAUUAUUAACCGUACACGAUCGAUUGUAGUGGAAAUUUCAUUAAUACAUACAUAUAUAUAUAUAUAUGUAUGCGAUAGUAUUAACCCGAACAAAUAUUGAAAGAUUCUAUUGUUAUUGCGCCCCGCCGAAUAAGAUAAAAACGUCUAAAUUUCCGUAUAGUUACACAAUAAUACCUAUUACAUUAUGGUAUUAUUAUUGUUCGAGACUAUCCAUACCCCGGACAUAUAUAUAUAUAUAUAUACGUUUAUUGAAAAACACAAAACAAUUAUUAUAUCUACGAGAUUGCUCAAGGUUCGGGAUAUCUCCCAUAUAAAAUAAUGAAACAUAUCGCGUUUUGAAAAAACGAAAACAGAAAAAAAAAAAACACGAAAGUUACAACAGAUUUUACCGUCGUAAAAUUCAGAUUCUAUUUCGAUUGCCAUAAUUUAAUAAAAAAAAAACAAAAAAAAUUAUCACCUCUCACACGGUUGAAUCUCUGUUAUAGGUGUGUUGGUUGGGAAAAUACAAUGCACAGGAUUAUUCGGUUAAUAUGAUUUACGUAAAGAUUAUAAUAACUGUAAACGAUAAAGCGAUUUAGAGCAAAGUAGUAUUGGUAUCGAUAUUUUCCUCGUUGUUAAGUACCUCAAAAAGUAAAACUACUAAAAGAAACCCAUAUUUAUAAAAAUAAUAUAAUAGAUAAAAAUUAUGAUUUUUACAUUUAGUUAUUUAACAUAAAUUGUAUUGAUACUCUCGUUGGCCUCGGAAUAUGUAAUUCAUUUUUUUAACCGGAUGGUUUUUCGAUGGAAAUCCAGUUUUGUUCGUGGACUUAGGUAUUCGAGUGCACUGGUUUCCGGGUUAUUUCACUCAAUAUUCCCGAGAGUUUUUUCACGCUGUGGUUUUCGGCCAACCAUCUGGCGCUGGAUCCUCCUAAAUGCUAAAGUCUCUAAUGCCAAUUUCGUGGUGACCGUCCGCAACUUCAGUGUAUUCUAUGAAAAGCGAAUCGAUUGGUUGUAAGUUAUUGUGUUUCGGUUAGUAUUUAUAAAAAAAAAAAAAUCGGGGUUCAAUUAAAAAUAGUUUGUGUUUAUUUUUUUCGAAAAGCGUUCAAAGCGUCUAAAUAAAUUACCCAUAACAAUGGUUACAGCCGUUCCCAUUAUCCUAGGACGGCUUUUUCGUGUUCAAUCCGAACGGUAUUUUCAAUGGAAAACGAGGAUUGGUUGUGAACUGGGCGCAGUUAUUCGUGGCCUCGAUUCCUUUACACACGAGUCUACGGGUUUCUUCACACACGAGUGCACUAGCACUAGUAAGGUGUUCAAAAUGUUUUCAAGGCGUUUGAAGUGUUUGAAUAAAAACGUGUGCGGUCACCGUGACUGUCACUCACAGAAUGUUGUUGAAAAAUUAUUAAACCCUUGCGGUAUUGUUUAAAAUCCUCGUUGCCAGGGGAUUUCGAUUUAGCUCUCAAUAUUAUUUCAGUAGUAUUUUCGUACAUUUAAAUUAUAAUAUUCGAGCCAGUAGUAUAAUUGUAUACUUUAAACAUACCGUUGGACGUGUUUUCAGGUGCAGUAUUUUUAUUGUUUUACAUUCUUUUAUCAUAGAAGACCCGAGAACAAGUGUUCUUGUCAUAGAUACUGUCAUACGUAAAGUUAUUGCCAUAUACAAAUGAUACCUAAUAAAUCAAUCAUAUCAUUCGAAACGCCUUUUUAAAAUGCUACCAGCGUAAUGACAGAUGCAUAUUCAGGUACUCGCGCCUAAUACUUCUUUAGAUAAUUUUUAUUAUUAUUCUGGUUCAUCGGACCUUUCGGAUCGUCUCAUUCCACAACAUUAACCCUCCCUCAACAAACCCUCAAAAUUCAGCUCACUUCGUUAAAGCUCUUGCUCCCGUUUUUAUUGCGUGUUUUUGCCCGAUCCACAGCUUUUUGCAAGUCGGUUUAUUAACGCCAGCACCGUCCGGGGUUGUAGUGGGCUUUAGCAUCCACAGCUGUCCUUUAUCGUCAAGAUCUUAGUAAGCAAAUAUUUUCCCCAAACCCGUCUUAAUAUAUAUACAUAAAUAUAUAGCUCACCGUUUUUCCGUCGUCACCACGAUCACAAUUUAUAUGACGUUGUCCUCGACCGGUCCAAAGCUCUUACGGGACGUUCUCCUCCGGGCAAUACCGUUCAAAUCUAAUAAUUUGAUCCGGUGUAUCAUGAAGUAUAUCGCACCAGGUACCUUAUAGCGCGCGUGUAACCGCACCGCUGCGGAUCGCAACAGUAGUAUAUUAACUCGUAUAAUACCACAGUACUAAAUUAUGCAACCGUGUUAAAUGUUAUGAGGCUAUCACCGCAAUAUUGUUAUACGGCCGACCAGAAUCGUAAUAAUAACACGGUCUGUCGUCGUUAUUACUACCGGAUGUUUACUAGGAAAAUACCGAGUAUUGUAAAACAAAUAUUGUCAUGUAAUAUUAUAAUGAUCGCGAAUAAUUAUCGAUUCGACCGGAAACAACAUAACCAACAACCAUACCGUACGACCGGGGGCAGUAUGAAUAUUGAUCUGGUACGCACUUACGAUAAAUUGAUAUAGAAUUUUCGAAGGGGGGGAGGAGGGGGUGAAUCGAUGGGUUGCGCGCGUCCCUUGUUCCUAAUGUUGAUAUAUUUAAAAAUAAUGUUGUGUGCUGAUAAUGGAAAUAACGCUCAAUAUUUGAGAAAAAAAUGAGCGACAAUAAUAAUAAUGCGAUCACGUUAUACGCGACUUUAGCGAUAUUAUAAUAUUAUUAUAAUUGCGGUGAGAUGUUUAAACAUUAAUACGUUUAGGCGUUACAAGGCGUAACAUUAUAUAGACGAAUAGUUUCUGCUGGUAAUUUAUUAACAAAAAAUAUAAAAAAAAACCACUGAAUUAAAUACGUUAAAACGAAAUAUUAAAAAAUAUAAAAACUAAAUUAUACGGAGACGAAAAAGUAUAAUAUUACGCGCGUUUACCGGUGAAUGUAAAAAUAUAAAUUCUUGUCGCCGCGUAAACGACCAAGUUUAGAAUAUUAGUAUACAUAAAUUAACGUUGUAUUACACUUACACCGCUGCAGUGACGGUAAUUAAGACUGUUCAGCAAGAAACAAAGAUUUAAAGAGUUUAUUUAAAUUUUUAAGUAGGCCGGUAAAUAGUAUAAAGUUUUUGUCAAAAAAAUGAAAUAACAGUUACACCGUUCUUUACACGACUGUACAAUUUUGUGUUUCUUUAUGAUUAUAUCUAAUUUGUAAUCAAAAUUUUCCGUGAUAAUUAUCGAAAAACCAAUGAAUUGCAAAAACGUUGAAAUAAAAAAGUUAUUUAAAAUGUCGAAACUAAUUGAUACGUAAAUUAUGUCCUAAAUCAAAAUAUACAAAUUAAUUUUGAUUCAUCGUAUUUAUUAUUACAUUUUUCGUGAUAGACUACCUAUUGAAUACACGAUGUAUUAAAUUAAUAUAUAUUCUACAUUAUACAUUUUGCAUUAACAUUUUUUUUUUUUUUUUCGUACGUUAUCAAAGCGUCCCGGAAGAUAAAAAACAAAAAACAAAAUAAAUUAGUUUUAAACUCAAAUUCGAGCACCUUAAAAUCAAAAUCUAAAAGCCCGACUUAUUACUAGGUAUAUAAUCUUGUUUCUAUCACCUACGUUCGGUGCGCAUACUAUAUAAACUGUAGUUCGGCGGGUUAUUCGAAUAAAACGGAAAGAGUUGCCCUUGCAUUGUCAAUAGCCUUUCUUUUUUUUCUUUUUUUUCGUCCCCGUUCAUUUCCGGAAACGCGGUCUCGUACGGUGGUGACGUUUUGUCGGCAACCGGUUUUUAUUACCAUAAACACGUUUAUCACUUACAAUAAUCAUUGUCACUAAUCUAUAAAUACAUUUUUCGUUCGUCAUAGUUACAGUUAAUAUACGAGGUAUUUAAAUUUUCACGUGACGGUUAGAUUUUCGAUAAAAUUUUUAAUAAAUAGGUUACAAUUCGGAAACUAAUAAUGGAUUAUAAUCUCAAAAAUAAAGGCGAGCAGAUUAAGAAAAUGCGACAUUUAACAAUACCUUAUUAUUCUAAACAAUUUUUCAUCAGCCUUUUGCAAAAAAAAAAAAAAAAAUAUACAUAUAAUAUUAAGUAUUUCACGGAAAAUUUGACUUAAAUCAUGAAAUACGGAACUCUAUGUAGUGUGUAUAUUACAUUACACAACACUUAACCUUUAUUGGUUUAUGAAGAAAUGUAUAUUUUCUUUUUUUUAAAAAAAAAAACAAUACAUGAGCCCUGUCUUAAAACAUAUUCUAUGUACUAUGAAAUACAUAAUAUUUAUGGAACCGGAAUACUAACCGGAAGCAAAUAUAUCUGCUUCUGGUUAUGUUGUAAAUUCAAUAGUACUUCUUUACAUUCUGUAAAAAUUUACCGACCUUGACAAACCAUACAUAAAUACAUAAAAAAUACAUAUAACGCGAAAAAGUAUCGCGUAUUUCGUAAAUUUCAUUAAGCUUUUGAAAAUCGUUAUGCAAAUACGAAAUCUAGAUAUUAAUUUAUUUUUCCAUGAUUGCGCUGUAUUAAAUUAAACUUUAUGCGUUACAAGUGACUUGAUUUAGUAAAUUUUAACCUAACUAGUUAAAUUAAGAGAACUAACCUUAAAUAUGAUAUUCUAUAAAUUCCGCAGUUGGAGCUUUUUAAAAAAUCAAAUAGCUUAAGAUUAUAUUAUGAAAAUGUCCCGUUCGAGCAGCGUAACUCAAAAAUCAAUCUGCCAAUCGAUCAAGUCGGGUUAUCAAAUUUCGGGCUUCGUGGGGUGAUAAAUAUUUAUUAUUAAUGUUUUUCAUAAAGCAAAACCUUGACACGUCCUGAAAAGAUGACACGUACUGUCAUCAGUAAAUUUAGUAAUCAGUUAAGUCUUAGGUGAUGGUGUCUGGUUCAAUUCUUUGACAGGUUAACACUAUACAGUUCUACGUAAUAUAUUGACAAACUCUUAAUACAGGUUCUUUUUUUUUUUUAUCUAUUUCAAGAUGGGAUCGAUAAGAAAAUCCAUAAAAUAAAAAACGAUCUCACUAAACCUAUAUUUAUAUCUAAUCGAAGUUUCCAACUUCCAUCCUUAAACAGUGUCAAAUCCAUUAGCAUUAUAAGCUUCUCAUUUUUAAUAACAAUAAACUGUAUUUAUAAACAUAUCAUAGUUUACGUAACAUAUAUUUAGCAAUAGAAAAAAAAAAAAAUAAUGACGUUCAUUUCUAAAAUUAUUUUUUAUUUUUUUUACUAGUUAAGUUAAUAUUUACCAAAAGAUAACUUUUAUAUUUUUAAUUACUUAAUGCCCAGUUUUGAGAAUAAUUCCGCAUGUUUUGUCUUUCGAGACACUAUCAUCAGAAAAAGUGAAAUUUACCGUAUUUGAAAUAUUAAGGUAAUUACAACCAUAAUUUUGAAAGAAUUUAAAUUAGUAUGUUCUUGUUAGUAUUGUCAAUUCAAUACACAGGUAAAAAAAAACGAUAAUAUAAUACCAUCAAUACUCGAAAACCUGAGGGAUGAAAAGAAUUUUUUUUUAUUCCCUCGACAAACGACGAAUCUGCUUUAUUGAAGUACAGUUAGAUACCGGAGUCUACAAGAUGUCUCCGUAGUAUAAUUGUCUAUCUCGUUUAGAUGAACCGAAAGGUUGACGGUUCGAACCCAUCCGGGGGCGGAGAUUUUUUUAUUACGAUAUAUUUCCUUGAAAAAAAUUCUAUAAAGGUUGAAUAUUUUAAUCAAUAUUAUGCCAUAUAGCCCUUAUUUGUCUUUAUGCGCACUUACAAUUUACUUUACGUAUCGAAAAAUAUUGCCAUUUACAAGUAAAACUAUGUACUAAGUAUUCAUUAUAUUUUUAUAUUGGUUUUAGCUAUUUAAGGGUCGACAAUCGUUUCACUGACCCGAAACAAGUGUUUGUUUACGGGUCUAAAUUAACCACAGUGGUGUAUUAUAUAAAUUUGUAUGGUAAACAAGCGGCCACUAAUCUUGGGGUAACGAUCCAAAAUAGGGUCGACCGUGUUUGUACAGGAGGCCCUAGGAAAAAUGCAUCAGUCGCCAUUUUUUUUUUUUUUAAUUAAAUAUUAUUUAUUGAGUUUUAUUAUUUCACUUUGUUGGGUUCCGAGAACAAUGGGUAUUCAAAAAACUCAAUUAUAAUAGAUUCAAAUAUUUUAAUUAAUAAAAACUAAAUUUGAUAAUAUUUUCAUUAAAAUGAUUCGGAGUGAUUUCCGUGAUUUUUUUUUAAAAAUUAUUUUGAGGUUAAUAAACAUAAAUUAAAAUUUUUUUUAGUCUCCCUGUUUGUUGACCAUACGUAAUUAUCCAAUGUUCUUUUGUACGGUUAAUAAAUGUAAAUUAAUAAUACGAAAAUCGUUCACAAUCAUAUAAUAGCUGACUGCUGAUAGACUAAGACGAAGUGAUAAUGUAACAUACACGGACAAACACUAAAUUGAAGACAAUUUUUAAGUGAACAUUUACCCUCCCUUGCCCUCCCUGUGUUCAAAUAGUAGGCUGAGCGUAAAUCUUCCGUUUUCCCUUGCAUAACUGUAUUUUUCCACAUUAUAUUUACAAAAAUUAAAUUAAAACACAUAAGUAUUAUAUUGUUAGCCCAUAAUUUUGUGUUGAAAUUUUAUUAUCGAUUACUCUGACUGCGAUAUUCUAUAAAUAGUGUGCAGUAUCUAUUAUGAAGGUGGUCACGACAUUGGGAUUGAACGUGAUAUGACUGCAUGUACCGACAUGCGGUGUGUUCGCGGGGUUUAACAAUUUCCCAUGCAAUUGCAAUAUAGUAUUCUAUUUAUUUUCUAUUUAUAAGUUUGGUUAUGGCCAAUAUACCGUUCCCGGUUUCUUAAAAUGUGUUUCCGAAUCAAUGAAAUAUCUGUCACAGAUUCUAGUUGUAGACAAUAUCCACAGCGAGUGUUUAAAUUUCGAAUACUUCCGGCGUGUAGCGCGUUACAGGAUGAGAUAUAUAGGAAUCGUUUCCGUUCCGAGACACUCGGCGCAGGGCAAAUAAUACGUUGUACUUACAUGUACUACAAAACGUACUUUCGUAAUCCCGCGGAUAACACCCACCUGAUAUUAUUAGUUCAAACCCAGAACCAGACUCCAUUUUAACAAGACGUAUCGAAAAUCGUUAUUUUAGAUUAUUUACUUAACCCGCACGGAAAACUCGCAAAGCUCUUCGCAAAACAAAAAUGGGUAUACAAAUCUGUAACGGUUUUUGUACGAAAUUCUAGAACGCGUUCGCGAAUCUGUAUUACCGUGUCCGUGCUGUGUGUCAAAUCGCGUCGAUUCCCGUUCACCCGAGAAUGUUGUGUUGAAGGAUCGUCAAACAGGAAGCCUCUGUCACGGGCCACCGUGGCGCAAUGGCCAGCGCAUUCGGCUACGAGUUUUUUUUACGUUUUUUUCAUCACGAAAAACGAAUGAAACCUCGCGGCCAAUUUUACGCGCCAUUUAUUUUUUUUUUUUUUCAAUCGUGAAAACUAAUUUUUAUUGCCAUAUUCAUCGGUAGAAAUAUAAUAUGAUAUAGUUUCGUUACACAUGGCAAUAAUAUAAUAACAAAAAUUUUAGAGAUUAUACUACCGCGAUACAUUUUCAGGACGGUAGAAACGUUUUGUAAUGGUAAGAUUACAAAAAGGUACCCGAUAAAUUUCAACGGUUUCAACAUAAUAUUUUAUUUUACAAACACGACCUUUACCAGUUUAACAGCGAAAUUUAUUUUGAUUUUUAUAUCGAAAAUCACACGCAGCAGUUUGCGCUUGUGUGUAUUCAUAUUUAAUAUAUUAUAUUAUACUUUAUUUUGUUUUAAGCCGUCCGAGAGAUUUUUCGAAAAAAUUACAGCGUUUUAAUAAAGAUAAAAAUUAAAAAAUUAGAUAUUGGAGAUCAGCACGGAAAAAAAAAUGAUUUUUAUAAUAUAUUGCACAUUUUUAUCGUCGGAAUACAUUUUACCCGUAAUGUACAUCAGCUGUCGGUACAUUUGUGACGGAAUUUACGGUAUUCUCGGUGAUUCAUUAUUUCUUAAAAAAUAUUUACUAUUAGCUGAAUUUAAUUAAUUUUAGUCGAAAAAUUGUGUGAAUAAUUUAGCAAUUAAUAAUUUUGCGAAUAAUUUAGUAAUUAAUUCAAUUCACAAAAUUGUUCGACUAAAAUUAAUUAAAUUCAGUUAAUAGUAUAUAUUUUUUAAGAAAUAAUGAAUCACCGAAAAUACCGUAAAUUUCGUACCCGUAUCUGUGUGUGUACAUAUAUAUAUUUUUUUAUGUCGCUAUUGUUUCAUGUAUUUCGCGAUUACAUUAGUAUUACCGUGUGACUUUAUUAUUUACAACGAAACGACGAUACGGCAAUUAUGAAUUAAAUGUUUUUAGAAUGAUACCAUUAUCCACUCCUCUUUGCAUAAACCGUGUUUUAUUAGGGCACGGGUCGUGGUGGGGGAAAAAACAUUUUUUUUUAUAUUCCAAGAUAUUUACUAUACACUGCAAAUAGAAAAUAUAUUCGAAUAACGAAAACAUCGCAGACUAUUAUCAAUCAGCUGUGAAUCGCGUGGGAUUUAAUAUUUCCCUCGUAUGGGACACGAGGGGGAUGAACCAUAUCCUUCCGUUGAUUGUUUCAUCAUAACAAUAACGCUGAUAAAUAAAACACGCCGGGACACUAGAAUCACGUAGUUCGUCAAUCGCAUCGAUCAACGGUUGUUUUUACGUUUUCCCUCGCCCGCGCAAUCACGCUGCUGAUGAACACGCUGCCGUUUUAAGAAGAAAGUCGAAUGGGAACGUGCGUAACAUCACGGCGCGAAUUCAUUUAUACCAGAUAAACCGUUGCGAACGGAAAACCGUUGCGAGAAAGGUUAUAAUUUGUUCCGUACCUUCCCCCUGUGGCCAAGGCAACGGUUUCCAGAGUCUUAAACGUAGCCGACAAUCGCGCGCACGUCAGUUUCCGAAUGACGACUGCUAUUGUUUUUUUUUAUCGAUAAGCCCCGUACACGCGCGAGACAAGUCGAAAUUAAAUUGCUUAAUCCGCGCGUCCAACGGAUUUGGAAAAAGUCCGACAAUUCGGAUUCGGCGUAAUCUCAAAAAUUACAGUGUCCGAAACGUAGCGCCGCGAUUUCGGCAUCCGCACAAGCUUACGCGCUAAAUCCCGAACGACAGCGGGAGCCGAACUAAUGCUCGGCCAAUACACUAACGAACUGUCGCCGAGUGUCGAAUCCUCUGUGAUCGGUACCGUUUGGCCGACAAGCGAACGAAACGAUAUUCGAACAGACGCCCGGACCAAUGACGUACGUUGAAAUUCGAAUUUCCACCGAGUCCGUGACACCGGAACAACAGUCGCAAUAGCUGUGUCGGCGGCAAAUUAUUUUAAUCGCUCACCGCAGUAGUCGACGCGAACGAAAAUCCGGAAAGUUUAUCGCCGUACCAAUAGAUUUUCGAUGAUUUUUCUACCACUGAAAAAUCCGUUUUCGUUUUUUUUUUUUUUUUUUUUUCGUGUCACCCGCCGUACGUCAUUAUUUCACGGUUCGCCCGGCAACAAUAAUCACCGUACAAGGAUACGUGACGGAGUAUUAGAACCGUUUCCUUAUUUUAAUCCCAAUCAAAAAUAAUCCCGUACCGAACCUCUGUGUAUUCAUACACCGCCUUUCUGUUCGUUAAGUACGUUACGAUAACUACUUUGGUCCGUAUUAUUACGCUCGGCGGAACAUAUUUGGUCCGGCGUGUACGGAUAAGUACACAACUGUUACAAUAUAUGUGUAAAACUAAAUGACAUAGUCUAUAUUAGUGAAAAUUGUUAUUUUUUUUUUUUGAAAAAAGAACCUUCAGAUACUCUAAUCCUUUUUUUGGGGGGGGGAGGAUGGCUGAGACACUCGAAAAACCGAUCGGAUCAGAGUUAUGUUCGAACGCAGCUUAAAAGUAAAAUAUUUUUUCAGUUAACACUCUUAGUUACCAUGAUGAAGUGUGUAUAUUCUGUUUGUCUAUUAACUGUAAAAUUUCGAUCUACAGAAUACUUGUUGGGACGAUCACUAGUAGAACGUUUUGUUCGGUCAGUCAUGUAACGAAGGGAUAUUUAAAAAAAAAAAAAAAAAUAUUUUAUGUUUUCCGAUUGAAGACAUUAAAAAAUAUCGAAAACUGGAAUACCUACGUGGAAUGACGGUUUCGUAAUAAGGACGCGCGGGUAAUGUUAUCCAUAACGGCCGUUUACCGCCGCCGUCGUGGUAUAUGAACCGCGCGCGCGUAUCAAUUGUUAUCAUUAUGUACGCGCACUCGCCGUCCGGGACGCAUUUUCGUACGUCCGACGAACUUUGCCGCGUCUCUAUUGUCGCGUAUACAAUUCGAAACAGCGUACGCACGCGUGGCGAUACGGGUUCUUUUUUUUUUUUUUUUUUCAGCGCGCCGGUUAUUUGCUACGCGGAUUUGUUUUACGUAUAAAAAAAAAAUAUACACAUAUAUAUAUAUAUAUAACAAUAAUAAUAAUAAUAAAUAAAUAGCAUUUAUACAUCCGCAACGGAGAAUUACUUGAGAAAAUACAAUUUUUUUUAUUUUUUUUUUUUUUUUUAUUAAGCUUUAUGCGCGCAGCAAGAAAGCCAACAUUAGUAUGGUAUAAAUACGGUAGACGGUAUUAUAAUAUUACGGGAUAACGAACGACCGGUUUUAAGUUUUUGCGGAAAUAUAUUUCAAUUAGAACGCAACGAAUCAAAUGAGAGUAGAAAAAAAAAAAAAAAACGGUAUACUAUAUACACGUAAUAUUUUACCGCGUUUGUUUUCCUACCUCAUGAUAAUUAUUAUAUUAUAAUGUUUACCUACUAUCUCUCUCUCUCUUUCUCUUUCUCUCUGUUCUUUUUCACCGCCGUUCCCAGACCUCUAUUUAAUAGACCAUCCCAUCUCGAAAACGCCCGGAACCUCCGUCAUUCGCUCCGGUGUUGGGAAGAACCGAGUUCUUUUCGUAUACGUAGGGACGCAAUGCGGAAAGCGUUAACUUUUGAUGUAAUUAGAAACGAGAAACGGGAAAUAAUUCCUAUGUACGGGAAACGUGAACACGGUUAUUAAUGUUCGUUAGUUUUGUUCGUUUUUUAAAUUUCUCAAGUGCUCGCGAGUGUAUUAUUACAGUUAAUUACAGUUAGUGUACGCACGACCAAUUGACGAACGAAUGACUCGUGGCAACUUACAAUACGUAUUUCCAAAGCAAAUCAAACAUUAGUGUUUACUACUUUCCGGAUUAAUAGCGUAAAAAAAAAACGUGUCCCGGGUUUUACGUUUCGUACUAGGGAUAAGCGAAAAAUAAAAAAGCUUAAAGAAACGGGGAACGAGAAUCAGUUCCUUUUAUUUCCUCUUAGACUGUUCAACGCUGGUUCGCCGUCCGUAUGUUCAUUUGGAUUGGCUCCCGGUCCGAACCGUUACACCGCCUCGACGAAUUCCGCCCGGUCCGUUUUUAUUGCCCGCGUAUUUCGUUCCGUUCUCGCCGAUCAUAACGCUCCCCGGUCCGUUCUCACCGCCGCGAGUGCCGUUGCAUACGUCCGCUACACUUUCUGCGUGCCCCGGGACAAAGCGUCAACACCCGGGACAAGAUCGAACCGGUCGGACGGCGGGCACGCGUCGCGUUCGCGCGUCCCGGCUACUAGACCACGCGCACACGCACGCACACGCACAACCCUCCCCCUCACCGCAACCGCCACUGUGUUCGUCUGCUGUGAGCGCGGUUGGCGGCCGCGCGACGGUCCGCGAUCGCGGGACGCGCGGCUCCAACCAGCGGGCCCCUGACCGGCCCGGCGGCGGCUCGAUCCGCGCGCGCGAGACAGGCGGAUGUAUUCCCGAUAACCGUCGAAACGUCCGUCGCGGUUUGAACGAACGCCGAAAAUCGUGUUCGGGCCAUCGUUAAAACGCGCGAUUCGUAACCGCAAUACUUUUGUAGGUUCAGCAACACGAAUUCAAUAGCUUGUUUUCAAAAAAAAACAUUUAUAACCGCCCACUGCGUACUCCGGAUUUUAUAAACCAAUAUCUAUGCAUAUGUAUUUAUACAAUUUUUUUUUUUUUUUUUUUUCAGGUACGUAAAAAAUGUAAACAAUAUUUGCUCACAACGAAAACGUCUACUGUCCGAGUAUGUCAGGUAAACGAUAAUUGUCUUGCAUAGAAUUAUAUUAUAAUCUACACAGCGAUUGCAUGUAAACGGACAGUGGUUCGGCGAAUGUAAUACCGUUGUACAUUUGUUGUAUCUGUCUUAUGCAAAAGUAUAUGUAUCAUAAAAGUACGACUGGACGAAGUACGAAAACGUUAUUCAAUUUUCUCGGUUAUCUUUGAAAUGACAAAUGUUUGAUUUUAUAACGAACGCGAAGAACAUUUUUCAAAAUGUUUAAAAUACUUCAACGUUUUUCCCGACACCACUUUUAGAUUCUUAGCGGAGCGAUAAAUGUAUCGGUAUCGCAAUGACGUUUAUUUUUUAUUUUUUUUUCCGUGAGCAACUUUCCUACCGACAAUUUUGAUUAGAUUUUCAAGUGUAGCGCCUGCUCUAAAAGAAAACGUUAUCUGUGCGGUACUCUAAUGAGAUCUUUUUUAAAUUUUAGAUAAAAUUAAUGAUACAGUACGUAGACCGAACAGAAAUGCUAAAAAAAUUGAACAGGAGAUUAAUCGUUAGUCGUAAUUUGUGGUAAAGAAAAAAAAAAAUUACGUAUAAUAAUUUUUUAAUACGUUUUUUAGUAUCAAAUUUUGAAAAUUUACUUUGGCCUUUCAAAACAAUAUCCGUUUUGAACUCCGCUCGGAAUCGUUUUCCGUUAGCAAAGAUUAAUCGUUGCGUAAAGAUACACAUUCGAUUCUCGUCUAUAUCUUAACUUUCCAACUUCUCACCUACAACAGUGGCCCUAACCACCGUGCGAAAUAUGUCUGCAUCUUUUUUUGUUGUUAUUAUUUUUUUUUUUAAAUUUGAAACCGUAUAAAUAUUCAACCGGUUAAAACAGUAUAGGUUUUCGCGACAUUUUUGAGAAGUGACCGUAACAUUUCCGUGGCGAAAUUGUUUUUGACAAGCGAUGAAUAUAGUACACAAUAUUAUUAUUAUAGGUGUAAUAUCGGUAUAUUAAAAAUGUGCCGUAUAUCAUAGCACAUUUGAGCUCGUUUAAUUUUUAUGAUCGAAAAUCGAUUAUAAAACGAAUGUUUACGACGUCGUCGUUUUCUUUAUUCGUCUUAUACAAAAAAAAAAAAAAAAAAAAAAAUAUAAUAAUGAUAAUAAUAAAUAAUAAAAACGUAUAGAAGCGCGUACUGCAUAGGCAACUUAUAUACUUUAGACUGUAAAAGGGGUGGAAAGAAAAAAAAAAAAACAAAAUUAAAACGUAUUACAUAAAAUAUAUCCUUAAGUGUUCGGCGAUAAAAAUAAACAAAAUAAAGCCAAAGUGCAGUUGUGCGGCGGUAAGCGGCUGAGGUUAACUUUACGUAUAAUAUUGUAAAAGAUAUACUUUCGGUGGAAUUUUAUAUCUAUUAAUAACGGGCGCCGUUCUUUCGGCAGACUAGGGAUUUUAAAUUAUGGUACAUAAUACUAUGUAUACGAUUUAUUAGAAUUUCUUUUUAUCGUGAGGGGGAAAAAAACAGAUUUUUAUAUACCUACUCGGUGAAAAAACUCCGGGAACGUUUCAAACGUAUACACAAAGAUUUCCUAGACGUUCAUACUCUAAUAACCUAUACUUAGGGUUUAUCACAAACAGGUCGACGGUUUUCUCGGUCGAAUUGUAUGCGUUUUUUUCCAACGAAACUCGAACGGUUUUCAUAAAAUUAAAACAAUUCAUUCAAGAAAAAAAAAAAACCGCGGACACUAACGAUAUGGGUGCGUCAAUGUUUUAGGAAGCGAUUUGGAAGGAUGGAUAUAUAGAGCAAUUCAAAAUUCAAUUUAACGUUUGCUAACAAAAUUCACUUGGAAAUAUAAUCAGUCGUGAUAUUAGCCUUUGUUCCGAAGGAAACCCGAAGGAAAAUUGCUAGUUUUUCCCGUUUUUUUUUUUUUAAGGCAAAUACCUGAAAAAAAUUUCCUCCUCAAUUCACCAAUUAGAUCCGAAAUGCUACAUGCAAGUUUUUUCACUGCAUUAACGUAACUGGUAGAAAGGUGUUUCCCGGCCAAAAAUAAAAACAUAGUAAAACCAAUCGCUUUAAAACAAGUAAUUAUCCUGUUUUUAAUUGUAUAAUAUUUUAUAACCAGUGCGGAUAGUUUAACACGAACUAGCGAUUAACUACAAUGCUUUAUAAUAAAUUUAAUUUUGGUUUUUUUUUUUUUUCAAUACAAUAUUUUCGAAACUGUACAUUAAAGUACAAGAGUAGAUUAAUAUCUACUCUUAAACUGUCGUAACUCAUAAACAGUGCCCGUAUAUAUAUUUAUGUCUAUAAAUUAUGACGCGAAUUUAUAGAGGCUAAAGGGGCUAAACGUCCCUCGAAUAUCACGGCAACCGGCAUUUCUGGUCGGCAUUUUUUGAGAUUCUCAUAUUCCUUAAAUUUACAAUACCUAUUAGUCAAUUACAAUAUUUUUAUCGUUUUUAAAAACGUUUGUUUUUGUUUUUCUACCAGAAAUAAUCUUGUAUCGGGUUCAGUAUCCUUUAUGAAAGACAAUUUUAAUUGGUUGGUGUUUAAGAAAUUUUUGAAAACUGGUAAAAACCGGGAUAGAACGUAGAGAGAACGAUAAACUUUACAGAAAUGACGGUUUCAUUAUUUUCAAAAUGGAUUGUAUAAUUCGGUUCGAAAUAAUCAUAGAGACCACGGAUUUAAAAAAGUACAGAGACGUCUAUAGACGUGAUAAAACUUUCAAAAUAUCCUGAUGAUUUUUUAAUUAUUCACAGACAUUUGACAUUUUCGAGUUUUUAGAUUUUAUUUGGACUAUAAUGUGGAUUGACUUGUUGGGCGAAACGAUUGAAAAACAAACUUGAUGUUUAAAAUGUGUAUACAUAUACUAUGGUAUGGUCCUAAAACGAAUGUAUUAUAAACAGAUAACCGGCCAUUUUAUGUUCAGCCUAUAAUAAUACAUCAUACUUUCGAAUUAGCAACAGGUCUUAAUAAAUUGCAUUUGUCAGAUUCGGUCUAAUGAAAUCGGCGAAAUUCACUCGAAACCCUCUUAAAAUUCAACCCUAGUAUAUUUCCUGGUCAUAUCUGGUAUUAGCGUUUUACUUAUUAUUUCAUACAAUAGGUUUAAAAAAAAAAAAAAAAAUAAAAAACGUUCUCAUUUCGAAUGUCGGAAUAAAAUUACAGGACAUUCAACAACAUUCUACGUAAUAUAAAAUAAAAUUCCGAGCUGGCGAAAAUAGGGAAAACGAUAAAUUUAAAAAAAUUAAAUCCGAAAACAUUUGUAAACUGGAUGUUCAACAACCAACGGAGUUUGUAAUGUUUUUUUUUUUUUUUUUUUCGUUUUUCGGUCGGUUUUAAAUCGCACGGUGCCGGGCGGUUCCGCGAGUUUAAAAGGAGCGAGAAGUUAAAAGGCCAAUUCGGACAAGACCUCGGUACACCACGGAUUUAUAUCGCUCACCUACUACAACUAUUUGUAUAGACUUUUUCUUCCUUUUCGGUUUCUGUCUAUCGUAUACACAUGCGGUAACACAUAUAUUCUCGUGUGGUAAAUUUAGAGGUACCAACAUAUUCGUUAUAGUGCGUGGGCGGAGCCGAUCAUCUUUGAAACAACGGUGCCGCUGUAUAACUCAUCAGGCAUAAGUCACACGGCCAUUAAAAAUAGGAACGUACCCAUGUACACUUAGAGGAUCGCCUCGCGAUGCUGUUAUAUAAUACAUCCCUAUUUAUAUAUAUAUAUACAGAUAUAGGGACGCGCAAAAAGUAUACGAUCUUUAUACACAUACACAAGCUUACGCGAUACAUACUCACCUCAUACAAGUACACAUAUGUAUAAACAUAGACACACACACACACACAACUUAAGGCACGCACUCAAACCCUUAUAAAUGAUGUUACACAAUUUCACUUUGGGGUGCUGCUAGGACUAGUGGCGUUGUGGGGGGGGUGUGGGUAGAUCUGGAGGGAUGGGAAGCGAAAACAGUCGAGCGGUAGUAACCGUACGAUAUAUAGGUACGUAUUUCCCGGUGCCCCGCCCCCCCGGCGCUAUAUACAGUUUUAUUAGCCGUACGUGCCUCGUUUCGGAAAUGCGAAAAACUGGCUUUAUAUAUAAAUAUAUAGGACAUCGUUGUACAGAGUGAUUCCGUUAAACUGAUAGCGAUUGCAGAUACGCGGAGAUUUCGAAACUCGACCAAUUUAAAACGUGAAUAGUGUUACACGUUUAAAAUUUAGACCACGAAUGUUUGGUAACGAUGCACAUUUCGCGUUGAUUUUCGGAUAGCCGACAUGAGUAAAUAGUAUAUAUCUGUUUGAACCUUUUUUUUUUUUAUCGAAUUUCCAUGAAUUUCAAAAUAUUUAAAAACCAAUAACUAUUGUCGAAAUAACGUGUGGAAUAAUAAGGGCUAAAUACAUUGACAAGAUCGAUCGGACGGUUCUGCGGAAUACCUACACAAUGUCCGAAUCGAAACCAAAACAGAAAAAAAAAAUAAAUAAAUAAAACAACUAUUAACUCACCGCCGUUUCGAAAGACAAAAGCGAAUAAAAAAAUACGAUGUGUUUAUACGCUGUGUAUAAUUAUAGUUGCGGAAGAAACGUUGAAAAUAUUGUCAUUAUAAGAAAACUGUAUAAAAGGUCCGAAAAAAUUGACCUUUGUCGGUUCGUGAAAAAGAAUCACCCGGUAUACACGGGUCGCAGCCACCACUAACAACAGCCUCGACUAUAAUAAAGUGUAUACUAUACUAUCACAAUAACAAUACUGCGUAUAUACAUUAUUCUACUUACCGGCGAUGGCAAUGAUUAGAUAUAUUUUUUUUUUUCACGAACGAAAAAUAUCAGUCGUUUCCUUUUUGAGUUUUCCGCCUGAAGCGAACUCUAUUUUCGUGUCCGGUUAUCCGUACGUAUAGUAGGCCCGUUUUCCUCACAAUUUUGUCCGUUCGAAUAAUAUCAUACGGGACGCAAUAAUCUAAUACGUUGAGAAACAUUCAAAAUCACGUUUUAUAAAACAAAAAUACGAUCCACCCGGUUUAAAAAGAGAAAAAAAAAUACAUUUUUAAUUACCGUAUAUUUCCAUUAUGACCAAUAGUAAAAACGCGUAGUUUCCUACGUCGCUUCGUGUGAGUUCGCCGGAAACAAUAAUUUGAAACAAACCGUAUAGGUCAGGGGCAAUCGCGGACAAUUUCAACGUCGAUCUCCCUUGGUUUGAAUUUAUUUUCAUGCGAUUAGAAGACGAGUCAUAAUAAUUGGCGAUCAUUUUUUUUUCCCCCUUAUAGAUCAUUAUUUUACCGUCAGUUAAUCGAGUAACACAGUUCACCGGUGUUUUUUUUACUGAAGAUAUUAUUUUCCGGUACAUAUUUAAUUUGUAAUAUUUUAUUUAGCCUUCAUAAAUGCGCGUUGAAAAACAUUAUUUUAACUUUACGAUUUAGUUUCAUUUUCUUUCGUACAUACGUGUAUGUUUAUUAUUAAUACCUAAUAAAAGAAAAAAUACAUUCUUAUUAGAUGUUUAACAAAACAAAGUUUGGCCGCCCAUGAUAUAAACAGAAAAUGUUUUUCCGGGGAGGCAAAUAUCUCCCGAAAACCAUGCCGCCAACCCCUAAAUACUCCGCCACCGGAUCCCCGGCACUUUAUUAUUGUAGCCGUAUUCAAUUCCCGAAACUUCUGAAUAUCCACAGUUCAGCAUACGUGCGUCUUUGAAAAGUUUUGAGUUAUUUUUUACCAUCUGUACGCAGUGCGCGUUGAUAAUAUUAAUUACGAAACGCGAUUUUAUUUCAUAAUACGAAAACGUUAGAUAAUAUAAAAAAAGAUAGAGAAGAUUAUGACGUAGUCUUAGUGAUUGUGGUUAGUGCUCGAAUUCAAUGUUCGGAAUUCGCUUUCAUUUUUUUUAUUACAUUUCAGCGUACCACUUCGUUUAAUUAACCAAGGAACGCUUUUAUUUCGAGGACGUUUGUCUAUAUUCGUAGGGCGCAACUUUUCAUUAUUAUAUGGUAUUCCGAAAUUAAAAUUCGGUUAUUGACCUCUGAUCAUCUAUCUAUCAACUAUCUAAUUUACUUUUCGCUUUGGAGAUGUGAAGGACAAAGUGCUCCAUGAGUUACUGUACCGUCAAUCCGGUAAAAUAUGGGGUAGUUUUUGAACUGAGACUAUGAAGUUUGUCUUCGUUAUUUAUUAUCAAGUAUUAAUUGACGAUUAGGAGAGAUGUGAAAUCGAUUUUGGUUUUAUGAUAUCGAUUGAACGAUUUCAAAUCAUUGCGAAAAAACAUAAGGAAAACAUAAAACGAAUGAACGGGUCAUAUUCUUAGACACGGAGGGUUACUAGGGUUAAUUUUGGAAGAGAUGGUAGAUGGAUAAUACCCCCGAGGAUGACAAUACAUGAGCCAGAUUAUACAAGAUCAAGAAUGUAAUUUAUAGCAAGAAUUGAAGAGGAAGGCUAGCUUUAGAUAAACAUUGGCGUCGUUACAAACUUAUCAUUAGAUUGAAGAUGGCAAAAGAAAAAGAAGAAGAUAUUAAUUACUAUUAUAAAAUUAUUCUUAAUGAUAAUAUAACCUAAAUUGCUAGUCAAACAUUUCGUGUGAAAACGCGUUCCGGUGCUUGGAUUUUUUCAUUUCAAUGAUACAAACAGGUGAGAUAGUAAACGAAGUGUUUUGACUGGAUGCAAUGUUGCUUUUUCUCACACUAAUCCAUCUCUCUUGAUUCAUUUGGACCAACCACGCCUCCCGAUGCUCGGGGCAAAUGUUCCGUCUAGAGGUAUAAGUCUAUGAAUAAUAAUAACUACAUUAAAAUCACGCCGUUAUCGAUCCCGAGCUUGAGUAUUAAGUCGGACGUUAUCAUCGCGGCAAAGAGCUACGUGGAUAUUGUAUACUUUUAACGGUCUUGCCUAUAUCAUUAUAAAAUAUAAUCCUCGAAAUCACGUCGCGGACACGUCGGCGAUCCGAAAACAAAUGCUUUCGUGAAAGCCCGUACACCGUUUUAGAGUACAACGAAGAAGCUAUUAGUUUUAUAAAUAUGUGCCUUCCGUUCUUUUCUUUUUUUUCGUCCCGGAAAAAAAGUUUAUGGUUUGCAAAAAUGCUAAGAUUUUUCACGGCGUACCUUAAAAGAUGCAUAUUUUUCGCUUAUGUACUUUAUCUGAGUGAUUUUUCAAAAAGUCUAAAUAAUUUUUCCUACAAACGACGUGAGUAUUUUUUUUUUCUUUUCGCUACCGUUUUGGUCGAAUGAUCGCCCGUCUAAAGAAGUUUACGGAAUAUCUUAUCGGACGGUAUUUUAAUUUUAGUACAUUCAUUGAAAUUUUCAGUAUUUUACCACCUAGGUCCAUCAUUUUUGUUCAUUUCUGUGUUGCCUCGGCAACAGGGGAGAAAAUACGAUUGAUUACACUCUGCUCAGAAUCAUUUCGUCAUUUGCAAUUAUUUAUGUCAUCGCAUACUGUAGCAUACAAUAAAGCUAUAAUAUGUUUUUACGGUUUUUAUUCCGGUCACCAAGUUAGGUAAUAAUCGUUUAUAUGUUUCGGAAACGUCCGAUCGGCAUUUCGGCCGAUGUUAUUUUAAGCCGCGUCGCCUGAACCGAAAACUUUACUAACCUUUACUUAUUUGACGGUACACGGUGCGUGUGCACACGUAUAUACACACUUUUCGGGAUGCGCGAUCCAAUAAAAAUCUCAAGUCCGAUACCAACAGUAAAUAUUAUUGUUAUUGUCUCCGUGAUCACGAGAAGCAGAAGGUGGAAAAUAAGCCGAAAACCCUACGCGAUAAUAAUAACACGUAUGAGUGUAUAUACCGCCUGGACGGUAAAUGUUGUUUCGGGGUUUCUGGAACUUUUUUUCAAAUAAUUCCGUCCGUCACGUGCCCCUAUAAGUUACACGCAGGGUGUUGCAGCAGCAGUUCACAGUUUCCUAUAUGCAAUUCUAUAUAGGAGUUUAUCAAAUCCGGUAGAUACACAAUCUGUAUUUAUAUUUUGGUCGAUUUUACACGUACAGCCUCUUCCGACUGUACCUAGGAGGUAUGAUAUUGCUACACGAAAUAGGAUCGUGGCAACGAAACAAAAACAGUGAAAAUGACAAAUUGUUUUCAAUGGUAUUUCCGAUAAAAUUGAACUUAGGGCAGUGUUUAUUUUAGGCGUCGACCGAGUAUUAAUAAGUCCAAUAGUUUUCUUGUUGUUUUAGACUCUGAGCGUAGCGAGGAAUAUAUUGGUUUUACAGUGAUGUUUUUUUUUUCCUUCGUGAUCAACUUUACUACCGGCAGUUUUACACCGAUUUACGACAAUAGCACUUUUUCUAAAAUGGAAAUCUGACCGGGAAGGUACUUUAAGGAGAUAAUUGUUUGAUAUUCACAGGAGUUUUCUCAAUAAAUGGGAAAAAACCGAGGAAAAACCGGAAAAUAGCUACAAUGUUAAGCAAAUAUUAUUAAAGAAAAUGUUUAAUGCACAUUUAAUUAUUUCACCGUAACGAGACAAAUAUAUUGUUGAUAAAGCAACGCUAUCAACCGAACUCCGCGGAGAACACAUUCGAUUUCCUCCCUACUAUCGCUCACCUAAAACAGUGGCCCACGUGCGAAGUAUGUUUGUCUUUUUUUUUUGUUUAAAUCAAAUUUUCUUAUCAUAUACGAAACCUGAUAAACGUCUGUUCACAUUCAUCCGCAGUUUGACACGUUACAUUACACAUCUUGUAGAUCCAAAGCGUUGACUUCACACAGGACUAUAUGUUACGUCUUCUCGGCCAUACCUAUUCCCAUACGGUCAUUUUCCCUAAGCAAAUUCAGAUUUGUACACAUUACAUUGUUAGUCACAUUACACCUAUACCAUACUAUUUUCUAUAGAAUAUUUUACGCGUUCAGUUACGCGUUGUUUUUAAAUCAAAUGUGCCUGUAAAAUAUUUUUAUAAACAUGUUUGAGAGGCGCAUUUUAUUUCAAAUUUAUCCAGACAAAGACCAAAAGAUAAUUAAUACUCCAAAACUAUCUAAAGAAAUCGAUAAUAGCUUAUUCGGUAAUUAUCUGGAGAGAUAAAUAAAAUAUUUUAAUUUUGAAAAACCGUCUAUUGUUGAGAACACGGUGGAUUACUGGGAGAUAACAACUCGAACGGUUAAACUAAUGAAAUGUAAACGCAAUGGAAUCAUUGUGCAGGCCAUAAUAGUUAACUACGAGUUUUCAACUAAAAGUAUAACGAUUAUUUAAUUAUUUUCUUCGGCGGGGAAAACGUUUUCUAAUAUUUUUAAGUAUAUAUUUCCAUCUAGAUAUAUCAUUGUUUGUUUUGUUCACGUUCUCGUCAACUUCAUCGAGACAAUAGAUAAAAAAAAAAAAAAAAAAACAAAAUUACUGUCGAGAUAAUAAAUGGUCGCCCACUAGUUUAUUUAUAAUAAAACAUCAAAACGAAUUCUGUCCCGUUGAAAUAUUAUAGUCUGUAUUAUUAUCGGUGCCCGAAAACGCGAACGAAAUAAAUGCGCAGAGCUAUAGAAACGUUUCAAAUAUUUUUAGAAGCUUAUCCGACGGCUGAGCGGUAAUAAUAAUAAAAGCUGUCAAUCGGUUUUGCAUGGCCAAUAUUGUGUGAACAAUCGCGAUAAUAAUUGCACCACUAUAAAAUUGCAAUUUUGUAUAAUAUAUACGUUUUCCAAUUGAAUACGUUUUAAGUGGAUCUGGCUAUACGGAUAAAAAUAAAAAUAAAAUAAUAAUAACAACGAAUAAUUAAACCGGGGCACUUGACCGUGAGCCCGUGCCGCAUUUCGAGCACACAGGUUUUUGUCAAUACAAUAUUAUGACGGCGUAGUGUGGGAUAUUCGGUCCGAUUAUUCAGUGCGACACGUGUCCUAUGAGGUACGCGGUUUCAAAAUUCUUAUGGACAAUCAAAUUUUAAAAGACAUCCAAACAAUGACGAUAAGUGACGUUAAGAGAAUGACAAUAUUGUCUGAAUGAAGACCAAAAGAAAAUACCAGCUAGAUAAAAAAUAAUAUUGAGUAAUCGGCGAUUUUCUAGACGCAAAAAAAAAAAUACGUUUAUGAUUUUUUCGUUACAGCCCCGUCGUAAAACUUACUAUAGCACUGUUAACAGUGUAUCGUAAGCACGUGUAGAUUUCCAUACGAAACGUGUGCCAUUGGUGUAAUUAUUUACUCUGAUAAUUCGCAAACUCAUUUGGAAGCCGUAAUGAGUACAGUAUUAAGGGGUGAUUGCGUAUUAUUUAGUAGAUUCAGACCUCAAUGCCGAACACAGCCGUAGAAACAAUGACGGAAUUUAAUUACGAAAACGGAAUAUGAUUGUUUAGGUUCGUUACUAGGCUAUGCUAGUAGUGGAAAUUCAAUUAUUUUACCGGAAAUGUAAUAAAUAAAUAGUUACACGUCUUAUAGUUUCUAGGACGGUCGUUGCAAUGUAAAAAAAAAAAACUUGUCAAAUUUUACAAAACCGCAGAAAAAUAGUGAAACCGUCACCAAUCUCCAGCCCUCGAUAUAAAUCUAUUAUUUAUCGUUAUAAAAAAUAUUUUAUUAAUACUACGAUAGUAAAUGAAUUCUUCUCAUAUGUUCAUCCCUAUGAAUAUAUGCACGAACAAAAGGAUCCAAGCGACACAUUAUAAUGAACUCAGAAACCCCUAGACGCGUAAAUGCCCGAUUGAAAUUAUCGAAUAAAAUUCCAAAUAUGAAACAAACAAGCAGUUUUUUUUUUAUAAGACAUGUAUACAUGAAUAUUCUUGCGGCGCGUCUAAUAUUAAAUCCGGAUAACAAACAUCGCAACACUGACCACGAAUACCGACAAACUAAUUUUACAUUAUAAUGUACGGAUGACGUCACGAGGCGUAAAUUAAAAAAAAAAAAAAAAAAAAAUGUUUACACCGCUCUCGUAUUGUUAUACUAUUAUUGUCGUAAGAACAAAAAAUACUCUUCUAUCGUGUGGCGAUUAUUCUCGAAAGAUUUCCCGGGGCCCGUGAGAUUUAUUUUCAGUUAACGGUCCGCGGCACGUUUUCGUUUUUCGCAUACUUAUUUUUAAGGAUCUCGGACGGUUUUUUGCGAUUAUCUGCGCGUUAACCACCGUGAUGUAUAAUGGGCUCUCCCAACGGGUCUUUACCCGUUGAAAAUUCACGAGUCGAUACAAAAAUAUUAACAAUAUUACCCAUACACAGUAUCGCGUUCGGUCGGCGUAAAAUAACAUCGUGUAAUAGAAUGCAAUACAAUUCAUACAUUGUGUAAUCGGUAGAAAUUUGUAAAAAAUAAAAAAUUAGGGCGGACAUACUUCGCACGUGGGUGCAGCCACUGUUGUAGGUGGGGAGUUGGGAAGGUGCCUACGGACGGGAAUUUAAUGUAUAUCUGUAAGCAACGAUAAAGCAUUGCUAACGAAAAAACGGUACUGAGUCGAGUUCAGUUCGUAAUGUUGCUUUGUCGACAAUACAAUGUAUACUAUUAUGUCAUAUUAUGGUAAAAUGAUUACAAUAAUGUGCGUUUCCAUUACAACAAUGGUUAUUUAAAAAAGAUUUUAAUAAUAAAAACUUAACAAUAACAGAAAAAAAAAUAAAAACCGUUGCCUAUGACAACUUUGUUUUUAAUCUUUCAAUCUUUCUUAACCUAAAGACCAAGAUUUUCCUCAUCAACUCGAAAAUUAAUGAGAAUUUCAAAAAAUGACCUUUUCAAAGGAACGCCCAGAGAAAGUUUCCUUUCGGAAAAGGUGCUAUACUCGAUAAUCGGAGUAUAGUAGAAAAAGUGUUCGCAUAAAAAUAAAAUAAAAAAUAAACAUCAUUGUAAAGCCCAUACAUUCCUCGUUUCACCUCAGAGCCUAAAACAAUUGUUUAAAACACGUUUUUUUUUUUAUAUAUAAAUAUAAUUUCGUCAUAACUAAUUAAGAACAAAAUAACAAUAAUUGGAGAAACAUUCCUUCUUUAUCCAAUAGUAACUAUGUAUGAACUGAUAGUUUUCAAUUAUAUUUUUAGAAUCAAUAUGGUGACUGUUAUAUGUACGUAAACAUCCUCACUCUUCUGCAAAACAUAAUGCAUUUGUUUGCUAUUUGAAUUGAAUAUUUGAACGUUUAAAUCGUUUCAAACGUUAACAUAUAAAACGAUUCGAGCAUAUAGGCACUCGUUCAAAAAGCUUCGCACUUCCCGAUUGGCAACGUGUUUUAUAAACCCCAAAUCUAUAUAACUGACGAGGUUUUUUUUUUAUUGGAAUAGCUAUGGUCGCUCGUAGGUUAUGACGUGUUUAUAGACACGCACUUAUAAUAGAAUUCUCACGACUCCCAAUAACCACUCCUCGAACGGGAAAGAAUGCCUGUAAAUAUUGACGUGCCAAGACAUUUUCAUUAGGAGGGGGCAUGAAGCGAACAAGAAUCGUAAAAUUGUUUUCUCCGCCCGACUCGACUAUGGGAAUCGGUAAUUUAAAAAAGCCGGAUCUUAAAAAAAAAAAAAAAAAAAAAAACAAUUUCUAAUGGAUACAUCAUCAGCUUUUCCUCGUUACAUGGCCGAAUAUAUAAUAUGAGUAUGCAUUUCGAUAUUGAAUUACUUUUAUUUGUUGUCUUCCUAAGUCAACGUGGCAGUGACACAACCCCUUAACCUCCCCACCUGCGUACGCCACCGGAGAAAACCGCCGGGGGUUUCACUCGCGUACACGAACGGGUAUUUCAGGACGUCUGGCCAGUGGUUCCCGUCGUCCACCUAUACCGGUCGCUCUCCCAUCACCAGUAUAUUUAUUUUAUUUUUUUUGUUUUUCACCGUUCGUUACGAAACGCAAAAUAUUAUGAAACUGUUAUGUAAUCAUAAUAUACAUUAUGCCAUUAGGUUGAUUGAACGUAAUCGAAUAACAAAAUCGCACUUUGCCGCCGCCACCGAGGAUCCCCCUGAGUAACGUAAAGAGUGACGUAAACCGAGUAACAAUAAACGAUUGCCGCCGGUAAAGUAAUUUUUAUUUUUUUAUUUUUUUAUUUUUCUAAACAAAACGAAACAAUAUGCACAAUACGUUAUUUUAUGGAAAUAUUCAAAUAAUAAUAAUGAUAAUAACGAAAAUAAAAGAAGAAAAAAUAAAACCCCCGUAAAUAAGUAUAACUUUAAAAGUACUCGGGUUCAGUAUAAAGACGCGGUUCUAUUGAAAUUUUUUCGGUUUUUGUAUACUGUACAACCGCGGAGUCUUUCGUCCGUCCGUUCGACUGCGGUAGCACAAAAGGCUAAAACGAUUGCGAAAUCACGCCGCCGCCGCGCGAUAAGAACGACCUUUCGGCAUUUUUAUUCAAAUGCGAACCGAAAACGAUCAUCGAGAUAUAAUUUUCAUUUUAAUAUUUCCAUCAUUUAUGAAUAACGUUCUAUCAGAUUAUUAUAUAUUAUAAAGAUGUUGCGUCAAGCCGGCAAUACCGGUCCACGAAAUCCGAAACCUCCCGCUUCAGCCGCGGCGGUAAAAUAUCGCGUCCGAAACAAAAGUCAACGUGUUGCGUAAGCAGUGACGGUUCGCCCACUCCCCCUUGUAUAUUGUAUUUAUUUAUUUAUUUAUUUUUUUUUUUAAAUUAAUAAAACAGAAAUAUUCAAUUAUCGUAUAUUUGAAUUAUACGGAGUCUGCGGUUCUAAAAACGAUAAGAAGCACGAUCCCCGAGCAUGAUAACAAUUCUGAAAUGUCGGUAUUACCAAAAUAGUUUAUAUAUGUAUGCAUUUUUUGUUUUUUUUUUUCUUAUACUUGUGGGAGGUAUUCAAUAAGCUUCGAGACCGAUAGCAUUACUCGUGAACUAAGCAUUGAAGAACAGCGGGUUUCGGUACCACUGCGGGUUACUGUGAAUUCUUUUGAGCGCGUCCGUUUUUGUAGAUUAUCUCUCUAUAGACUCCUUCGUUUUGAUUUUACCGAUAAUAUUCUUUUCGCGAUCGGCGAUUUCGUAACGAAUACAACUCGACGAGCUUUUCGGGGGUUUGAGCGGAAUUUCCCGCAUUUUAUUUUCGAAUCUCUCUACAUUAUAAAUAUUUUGUGUUGCAAUGGCCGUUUAAUUGUAAAAAUUGAAUUUUUACCGUAUCACACGGCGAUGUGCAUUGUGCAAAGUAAUGUGCGAUGUAUUUAAACUUUAAAUAAUUAUUGCGUUUAUUUACAUUAUAUAUACAAAUAACUAACGGUAUAAUGUCUAAAACUAUAAUAGAGACUUUUCCGUGAAUUUAUAAAUAUUUUAUUCAUUAGGUUAUUGUCGAAUUUUUCCCGAAAAUAGAUAUUUUAAAUUUAACUCCGGCAACGUAUUGCGCCUGGAUAUGUAACUAAAUUUUUUCCCCCGAUUAAUUCGAACACUUUUGGCUUCUUUCUCUGGACAAAAUGAACUUGCACUGGGGAACUCGAAGUUUUUUUAAAAUUUUUAUAAGCUGAUUGAAGAGAUACAAAUUAAUCAGUUAGUUCAAUUUUAAUACAAAUUUCACUUUGUUGUUGUGGGAGGAUGGUGUUUUUUUCAGCUUUGUACACUAUGAAAUGAAGCCAGGAAAAUUACAUUUUGUCUAUGUACCAAGGAAGCGCCUUUUGGUGGUUUAAACUUUCAACCCCUUCCCCAACUAUUGUUAUGCUCAGAUGUCAUGUUUUCACAGGAAAUAUCGGGUUUCAAUAUCCUAAUACAGAUUCACGAAAAUAUGUAACUUGUUAAAACUUGUGUUUGUACCUUGAGUAGAAUCGAACCCUUAACGCCCGGUCACACGUCUGUUUGUAUGUUCGCAAAAAUAUCUCGAGAACCACUUUAUCUGGUUUGAUAAAACUUAUUUUUUUGUCGAAUUCUUUAAAAUUAAAAAAAAAAAAAAGUAGUAGUAGGAGCUCUACUACUCGCGGUUUUUCCAUAAAUUUCAAAUAAAAUAAAUAAUUCAUAACAUAUUAAUUGACAUUGCUAUACAAAAUAGUAUACAAAUAGAUAUAAUCUCAUUUUAAAUAUUUUGGAUAUUUUAUUCAAUAACGUCGAAGGUCGAAAAUGAAUAAAAGUGUCUUAUCAAUUUCCGAACAACGAUUCCGCGUCCUUGACGUUUACAGGUAUCCAAGUCUGGAACUGGGGGGGGGAUCCAUUGGUAUACGUACCCGUAUUUUGUUUUCGGUACUAUUGUAUGGUAAGAGUGUUCUCCUAUAUCCUUAAACGAGCGAUGAGGAUAAAAUUUCGAAAAUAUCGUCACGAUAAAUGAUCGGAACAGAAAAAUAAAAGUAGACAUUUACUCGAAAUCUCCGACGUAAACUGAAUCGUUGGAAUCACGAACAAUUAUUAUUAUAAUAGCCCUGCGUAAUAAUAAUUUUUCCUUUUUUUUUUUUUUUCACAUUAUACUACCCGACGCGAAAUAUCGGAAUUAUUAUUAUUGCGUCGCUCUCGCAAUUGUGUUACGGCCGUAGUUGUAAACCGUGCAGACCGUCGACACCGCUUUCGCAUGCCCGCAAUAUAUUAUUAUAAUACCCAUACCCUGAUUUUUGGUUGACGUAUUUGCAAAUUUUAAUUCGUUGAUUUCGUUACUCCCCACACCCAAACCUCCGCCGCUCGCCGGAUAAUUGCGCGUGCGCGCCCGUUGAUGAAAUGCGACGUAAAUGUCAAUUAAAAUUUAUACCUAUAUACACGUAAAAUUGUACCAAACCGGAACGUAAAUAAUUUAUUCGCAAAAUCUCAUUUCGCACACAUACAUUAUACGGUUUUGGCAUUGUACGCGGAAAUUCUAUUUGAAAUAUUAUAAUUAAAUUCGACUUAUCGAAUUUAUACAAUACGGGUACCUAUAAUAUUCUAAGCCCGAGAUGUCGAGAAUAUGUAUAUUUUUUUCGCGAAUUAACGUCAAUAAUAUUAUUUAUAACAUCAAACGUCAAAUGUGUUUCCGAAAUAUUCGACGAUAUUUAUUAUUAAUUCGCUGCCGCGGGAUUUCAGUGGAUUACCGCACCGGAGCUCGGCAUUAUGGACGUGAAUUCUGUAUAUAAAAAGAAAAAUAAUAAUAACAAAAAAAACAAACUGCGAUAUAAACUCCUCGUGUAAGUACGUGCAACAGUCGAGAAAAGCAAAAAACAGAAAUCAAAAUAUAAUUCCCUCGUCCAGACGCGGAUUGAUUUUUAAAUGUGUGUGUGUGUUUUUUUUUUUUUAUUAUAUAAACGCGCUUUUUGUUUUUUACAUUUUUUUUUUACGUCAAUUUUAAAAAUAAUAAUAACAAUUUCCGAAAUUGAAUCUCGGCGCGUCGCUAUAUUUUCUUGAAUUUAUAAAUUGAUAUAUAUAUAUAUAUAUAUAUAUAUCUUUAUCUCACCCGCGAAGCAUCAUAAUAUUAUUAUAACAGAAUUUCGAUUGGGUAGAAGUUUUUCAACUGUUUAAAACGUGGUAAAAUGCGGGUUUUUUUUUUUUUUCGUUUUUUAGUAUCUACCUUGUCCCGUAGUUUUCACGUGCAUUUUAGAGCGUAAUUUUUACAGUAGAAAUGUCAAACGCGCAGUUCGAAAAUGCAGUGUGUCGUAAGCGAAUGUAUUUUUCCGAAGCGACGCAGCUGAAAAACACGCGAACACAUCGUCUCCGGGGUAGGCUACGGUCAUGGAUUAGCAGGCGGGAGUACGGAGGAUCGUAUCGGAUGAUCCAGGGCCUAAAAAUUAUGCGAAAUAGAGUACACAGCGCGCAUUAAAAAAACUAUCAAAUUAUGCAAUAUCCAAUGUAUAUAGUAGAGUGCAGUUCACGACCAGUGAGUUAUAUUAUAAGGUAGGGUGUAAAUGCGAUAUUUCACCUAUCGGUAAAUUUAGUUUGGACAUUUUUUCACGAUUCUCGAUAAUUUUUCUGAUUUUUUUACGCAGCAUACCGAGCACCUACCUCGAAUGGCACGGAACUCCCAAUCAAAAGUACUUUACUAUAUAAUAUACGCAAUAUUCAUUCCCUAGAUCAAAGGAUCCGAAAAUAAAACCACGAAUAAAGAAUUACGUCUUCGUCCUUGGAAAAUUACUUUGAAUUGUCAACAAAUUCAACAGAUCCUUCGAAAUUUUCUAAAAUAUCGAUGCUAAAUUUAAAAUGAAAAUUUUCAAUAUUUAUUGCGAUGUGCGAUUGUAAAUUGUUAUGUGCAUAAAUAUAUGGGCACCGGGGUCAUUCGGUUAAGACGCUGAACGAAAAACCUUCGUUAUUAAAAAACGAUUCAGAGCGAAGCACGGUUAACCGUUAAGAUUGAAAAUCGUGUUUUCUCCCCUUGUGGCCAAAAUGAACGCCCACACGAAUAGAUCCGAUACAGGUAGAUUUUUUAGGCCGAGGGGUUUUCUUUUUUUCAUACAAUUAUUUAGGAAAAUGGUUGGGAACCGAGAAAAAUCGCGCGAAUAAAACAUAAUGUACAUGCAGUACCGCCCACUGGAAAUUCUUUAAGGUUUAUACCGACCGGAUCAUUUUUAUCGGGUAAUCGAACAAACUAUGUUUCCCUGUGGAGAAAAACACAUCUCAGUGAAACUAUUUAGGUUGGUCGCUAGAAGAUCAGAUACGUCUAGAAUCCGGUCCGCUUGUAGGUGUUUCGAACGAAUAGUUAUGCGAGUACAAACAUUUUUCAUCACAAACGUAAUCACUUUUCACGCGUUUAUGUCGUUUUUACAUAACGUCAUGUAUGUUAAUAGAGUCGGGUCACUUUUUCGUGUUUACCUAUAGUCGCGUAUGCCGUCCGUGAAAAAAAAAAAUAUCAUAAUCCGGGGCGGCGGCGGCGCACGUACGUAUACGUUUUUGCAAUAUGUGACUCGAGUUUUUCUCGUUAAGUACAUGAAGUCGAUCUUGCUGUACGUUUCCGGUGUCCAAAAUAUAUUCCGGGUAUUGUUUUAUACCGGGUUUGAAUUUUUUUUUUUUUAAAUUUACGACUCGUACACGCCACCGAUGCAAUACCUACACAAGUUCGAUGCGUUUAUCUUUGGUCCCAGGGCAUAAGGGUUUUAAACCGAUUGUUAGAAUUAUUUUUAUACUUGUUUUUUGUUGUUUCGUUUUUUCGUCUAAACAACAUGCCGCGUGUAUGGAUACGUUUAAACCGAAAAAGACACUUUGAAGAGAUAAAUUUAGAAAUUCGGUGGAAAUAUUAUGAAAAACAUUAACAUUUAUCGAACGAAAAAUAUUUACGCUUUCGUAUAAAUUUAAAAAAUGCGCGUGUAGGUAUUUCUCGUGUAACCGUGAUGAUAUUGUUGCAAUCAAAAGCAUUCCGCGUAAAAGAAAAUAAUACAUAUUAUUAAUAGGUCGCUAUGUAUAGGGUAGUACCCUUCAAAGUGAUUAAAGAAUUUCCAGUCUUUAUGAAAAUUAAUUGCAACGACAUCGUUCAAAAUAUGACGUCAAAUAAUUUUCACUGGAAUUAUUCGGUGUUAUUCAACAUCAAAUAUCGGUAUUUUUUACGGAAAAAAUGAAAAAAAUAAAAACGCAGUUACUUUUUUUUUUUUUUACAAAAUAAUAUUUAACCAAAUGUAUGUUAUAAUAAUAUAUUGACAUUCCCCUUAGAUAAUGUCGUGUGGAUUAUUAUUCGUCGUCAGCUGUUUAACGCUCGCGGAUCGCACUCGUUCACGAGAUAAAACGAUUUUCGACAAUCGUGUCGAAAAUCGUAUCAACGUUUGAAAACCGCUCGCGCCGACAUCGUCUACUUGAUGAGUUUUCUCGGUGAUUUUCUUCGUUAAUCGAACAUUUGCGAUUUUUUCUCUCUCCUCUCCCCCCCCCCAUUAAGAAACUGCAAGAUCAAUAGCGAUGUCAUACGAAAACAUGUGUGGUAUAAUGCCCGGACGCACGUACAAUUUUCCCCUCCGAGGAUGCUGCAGCGUUUGUGUCGGGCGACGAUAAUAUUUGCCGAACUCCAUUACAAGAAACACAAUGAACAUUUUUCGGAUCGAAUACUGCGAUAGAUUACCAUAUCCGCGGUUAUGUCGCUUCGGGACACGUUUUGUUUACGCGCGGCGAAAAUUGCACGUGGAAAUCGCGUUCCGUCAAUUACAGAACACAAAAUUAUGAUGUUUUUGCGUAUUAACCGCUCGGCGUGCAAUUCGUUUAGGUUCUGAACGAAACGAGAAACGUAUCGGUGUUAACUAUAAUACUGUGUUUGUGUGUGUUUUCGUAAAUGGUUUCGUCAACAGAAAUAUUACUCUAAUCAAAAAACUAAUCGGAACUCUACAGUCGAAUUUUCGAUCUAGUCGGUGCAUCGAACAGUUCCAUUUUUCGAUUGUCCUUGAAGUUUUCUAGAAACGUUGGAUCAGCCAUUUGUCGUUAUUCUUUUCCAUUUGUCCGGGUAUUUGUUGGUAAAAAAAAAACAAAAGUACGUUUUCUAGCACACAAUUUCACGACUCUACGUGAACACGUGACGACGAAAACCGAUGACGAACGGAAGCGAGUGGGAGGGGAAGAAAAAGGAGGGUGUGUGUAAGACGGUAUUUGCAGCGUGUACGUAUAAUAGUGUGAUGGGAUAAUCUGGAUUAUUAUUUGAAGUUCGCAAGAGUAAUCCGGAAUUUCGAUGUUCAAAUUCUGAAGUUUAUAGAAAUCCUGGAAAGCGGAUUCUGCGCGUAUUUUUCGACGAUUUUAUAAAUGUGAUCAUCGUCAGUCUGCGAAUGGCGGUGGUGAAUAUUAAUAUGAACCAAACGAGUUUGUCUAUGUGCCUAGCUGCACAAGUGCACGCGAACAUAUUAUAAUUAUUUGUAAUAAAAACGGACAUACUUUACACGAUGUGCGAACAUCCCUGUUGUAGGUGAGAAGUUGAAAAAAUAGAAUACUGAAGGGAAUUACCGCAUAUGUAUAUAUUUGCAAACACUGCAAUAAGCUCAAUUUUUUUUUUUUUACUACAGAAUACGACUCAAUGAAGCAUUUGUUAAAUUUUCAAGCAUUUUUGUUUAAUCUAACAGUGCUAUCCACAGAGAACCUACCGAAUAAAAAUUAUAUACAAAAUUAAAUUGAGCUAUCAAUAGUUCAAAAAUAGUUCAAAUAGUUUGAAAAUUUUACCAUGUCUACAAAAACCAAGUAUAAGUCUCUAUUCAAUUUUCAAGUCUUUAAAAAUAUUUUUGACUGAAUAACAACAAUAAACAAAAUAAAAAAUACCGAAUGCGCCAUUUUCGUAAAUUUUCUCGUAAACGACAAACCUAAAGUACUAUUUAGACGAAAUUUCCUUUCAGAAAAAGUGCUACUUCGAUAUAUUGAAGCAAGAUUUCUGGUGGAAAUUUUUGCCAAAGUCUAACAGUAUAUUGCGUAUGUGUAUGCUAUUACUAGCUGUCUCGCGCCCGACGUUUCCCGUGCCAAUUUUUAUUAUAAUUAUUAUUUUACACACAUUCAUUUCAGAAUUGAAUGAAAACAAAUACUUGGAAACUGGGUUAGUCUUCGGCGGACUAAAUGUGUCCUACUGUGAAAUUAGAAUAGCGUAAACAAUAGUAAUACUAAUAAUUUUAAUAGUUUUCUUUUCCGUAGCAACCAAAUUAUCAUCGGUUACGUCAAGGUAAUCCUCGAAUAAACGAAAACGAAUGAACAAGCGAUUAGAUAUUCGUAUCGAAUACACCAAAAAAAUUCCUAUUUUGCCACCUUUUCAAAUUUUCGAAUUUCCAAAAAUCCUCUCCGCGUGCCGAAUUUCGGCCGGAUCCGUCCGGCAGUUUGGACCAGGCGAUGACGAAUCCGUCAGUCCGGAUAUGUUGUUUGUUAUGUGCGUGUAUAUAUAGAUAACACCGACUCGAAUGUUGUAAAUGUACGAUAAUAAGAUUAUUAAUAUUUUUAUUAGCGAAAUCGAAAUUCCUCGGAGACGGGGUUUUGUAACACUAUUGCAAUAGUCCAAUAGGUUUUCGUUGUCGUUCAACGAGCAACAGUGAUAGUGACUGAACGUUUCGUUCACACGCUUUGGACGCUUUUCGGACAAAGUUAAAACACGUUCCGGUUUUUAUCGACACCUGACUUGUUUUUGUUUAAAUAAUAACCGAAUCAAAUUAACGCAAACAUAUUAAUUCGAUUUCUCGAAACACAGCUGUUGCAGGCCAUCGCCACGAAAAACACGAGUGUCUCAUUGCAGCAAAAUUGUUGGCUGCAUUAUCGCUUAUAAUCAUAUCAAACAUUAUACCAUUGAACUAUUAUGUGCCAAUAUUAUUUAUUACCGGCACCCCAAAGAAUCCGGCGCCAUGCGGGUGGCCGAAACCCGUGGACCCGCGUGCGUAAAAAAAAACCUUAGACCGGGCCCGAAAUAACACGAGGCUACGGACAACUGUUUCCGAGCCCACAAUCAAUUCUUGUUUUUCAACUAAAAAACCAAUCAGAUGCGAGAAAUCCCGAGGCCAACGAGAGUAUCGAUAGCUUAUCAUAUGUUCUCAAAGUGCAUAAAUUUAUAUUAUACUCUUGAUGUACGAAUAUUGAACACUUGUAAAUCGAAAUGUUUAGACUAUUCCUCUGCGCGUUUUAAAUCGAUAAUUUCUCACAAAUCUAUAGAAUUUCACCGGGCGGUGGUGACGCGAUAAUGGGCCUCGAGGCCGCGUCGGGAGAGUGUUGUAGUCGAAAAGGCUACGUAUACACAUGUGCCGGUGAUAAAGGGGGAAGUGGGGGGGUUUCGCUAAAAUACGGUUCGAACGGUUUUCCAUUAAUUACACGGUCCACGCGAUCGCAUACUGCAUCGAGAUUAAAAGGGUUUUUGUGUACGGCUCGAGGCGAUCGUCGUCCCUGCGGGUACCACGCUGCGAGAAGAACGUAGACCUGACCGGGUAGAGGGGUGAGAGGAGAGAAAGAGGAUUUCGAGUGCCGGAAGCGCCCUGAGGGCGACCUAGGGACACAUACUUAUACUUACAUAAUAUGCCUAGGAUUAGACUUAUACGGCGGCGUCUACGUCCAAACUAUCGGCUCGUCGUUAACGGUCCGAGAGAAAUUUCUAAAAAAAAAUAUAAUAUUACGGUUUCAAUACCAUCGGGUUUAAUACUGUAAUACGUGACAACUAGCCGUUUUAUCUAAUGUAUUUUACUUUUUUCUCGUGAUUUAUCAAACUUCAAGUGAUAGUGGGUGGGACAUUCGAACCAUUGUCUAAAAAAUUCUGAAAAUAACGGGUAAAUUGUUUGUAAUAAAUACAAUCACUUUUAUAAUAACUACAAAACUGUUAUUUUUUUCUUGUUGUUAGCUUUUAAAAAAUGUUUUUAGUAACGUUGCGUGCACAACGAACUCUAUUGUUCCUAAUAGGUACUCAAAUAUUUGAGAGACUCUACUGAUAAAACGUUCAAAAUUACAUUUUUAUUAUGUACUUAUAUCCGGUUAUUUAUGUACAGCCAUGUAAGAAGAAAUUGUGUCUCGAUAAUCUGCAGCGCGCAUUCGUUUAUUGUUACUCCAACUACGACGACUUUUCACUUGAAAAUAAAACCAAACCAAACGGUUGUCAUAUUCGGUUAUCAUUUCUUGUCAUCGAACUACCUAUUAAACGCGAAUGCCUUCAUUUUUUUAGCGAACGUUCCGAACACUGCAACGUGCCAUAAUACUAGCUAUAGAUGCAUACACUAUUUUACUGCUAUAAGUACGAGACACUGCGAAGGGAGAGGAGGCGGUGUUUGUCGAAUUUUACCCUUCUCUACCAACCCCUCCUCCCCUCGCCGCCUCUCGUCAAACGAAUUGUGUUCAUCGUCGCGUCCUCUCCUCGCCCGUUAAACAGUUUCGCGUUGUCGUCGGCGACGUCCCUCGAGGCGACGAUAAAACAAUACGCAAAAGGGUCAAUUUGGUUUAUUAUCACGACGACGACUAUUCUCCCGGAAUUUACGUUCGCGAUUUAUAUGGUCCAAUAAGUGAGUCCGUAAGACGAUUAUUAUAGUUGUUAUUGUUUUAUGCAAAUGUCUCGUGAUAUCCAUUUAAUAUAAUAUAACGUCCGCGCAUAAUACCCGAGUGUCUAUCUGUCCGUGAAAAGCCUCCUCGGUGUGUAGUUUCGCCGCGGUAUAGUAAGUACCUCGUCGUCGUCGCCGUAGCGAAGAAUAAUACUCGUAAAAUGCGGAUCGUUCGCCGUUGUAAAUAGGUAUUAUGCGCGUACACGCGGUUCGGGUUUUCGUCGGUUUCCCCCUCCCCCCCUUUCUAUUUUUAUUACGUGUACGCAGGAUUUGUUUCGUAUGCGUUUAAGAGUGAGGGGCGUGAUACCGUCCCGGAAUCCGACUGUAAAAACUGUUUGGCACGGGUACAAAAAGACUACUCGGGCUGUAUUGAAUUAAUCGACAAAUCAAAAUGUUCGUCGUAGAAAAAUAGCCCGGCAAUUUUUUUUUUAUGUCUAAUUUUUGUAUUAAUUGGGAAAAUCCAAAAUGGAAAAAUAUCGUAUAAGAGAAACGGAUAAAUUUAAAAUUUCAUUGUUUUCGAUUUCUUCGGUUUUGUUUUUCCAGUAAAUAUCGUAUUUCAAAUUUUCUGUGCGUCUUUUCUGGAACAAUUAUUUUGAAAAAAGUCGGUGCAUAAGAUCGGAAGGUCAAUUUAUUAUUUUUAUUGUAGUUUUUUCGAUUGGAAAAAACCGUGAAAAUAAAUAGGAAAAACGGAAAAGUUUACGACAUUAACGGUUUUAUUGUUUUAGAUUGAUGAAGAAUGUAUUGGUUUUACAAUAAUUUUAUUAUUAUUUUUUUUUUUAUUAUACAAGGAAAUUUUCCCGAGUUAGUAGGAAAGAAAUUUUUUGAUUUUCCAAUUGGAAAUAAUUUGGAAAAACCGUAGGGGAAACAGAAAAAAUUGCGAAAACAAUGCUUUUAUUGUUUUCAAUUUUGUUUAUUUUGCAGUGAUUUAGUUAAAAAUGUUCAGAGACUUGAAAUAUGAACCGAAAUAUUGUGUCGGCAUUUUAUAGACAUGGUUAAAAUAUUUGGUUGGCAAAAAAUAUAAAUAUGUUUUAGCUAUUUACAGGUAUUUGACAUUUUCCAGUUUUUCAUACGGAAUUGAUUUGGCUUGGCGAAAAUGUUUGAAAGUUAUACUCGAGUUUCGCCAUAAUAGCGAAACAUAGAGGUUAAAAAAUCGAUCUCAAUUCAGCAUUCUUUUUUUUUUUUAUAAUACACGCGUAUAAAGUUCAAAUUUUGAAUAUUGUAAAUAUCGCGGCAUUUUAAAGCAUAUAUUAGUAUAUUUAACCGAAUUUCGCUCCGGAUCGUUUUUCGUUAACAAUGAUUUACAGCUGCCUACAGAUAUAAAUUGUGUAACUCUCUACGUAUCCCCCGCAUUCUCAACUUUCCACCUUUAACAGUGGCACACCCAUUGGAUCUUUUUUGUUUUUUUUUUUUUUUCGUUUUCAUUCGGUAUAAUAGUGUCAUUGCGAAAAUAAAUCGUGCGACCGUAACAAGGUUUAAAAUUUUAAUUAAACCGUUAGGCGUGGCAAUCAAAACACACAAAAAAAAAAAAAAAAAAAAAAAUGAAUGUUUUAUUAAAACAAAAUAAUAAUAAUACACGUUUAAUUAAAUAUAUACGUAUACCGAUGGCGUUUCGGCCAUUAUACCUGCUGUACCUAGUUGACAACUAUGAAAUAAUAACGUAUCAUACCGUUUGAUACGUCGUGUUCGUGUGUUUAUAUCAUUUUUAAGAGGAUUAAAUGAAUAUUAAUGCCGGGCAAAAUACAUUUUAAUCAAAUCCGGACGUAUUUCGCACCGCCGCGGUUUACGCCCCACUGCAGAUUUUAGAUGCGGAUAGUAUUGAACGGCACGGCAACGUAGGAAUGUACAAGUUGAUUUAAGUUUUAUCACACCGAAAGCAACGGUCAAUCAUCGGAGUUAAAAAAAAAAAAAAAAAAAACAAUUCCGAACAGUCUACCACGCGUAGGCUAUAUUAUGUCGACGAACGGAAGUGUUUAUCGGUUUGCCGCGCGAUCCGCGGUCUGGGUGGAAUGCACGCGGAGGUCGGUACAUUUGCAUCAGAACCCGACGAACGGUCCCGCGCGCGCACAACUCGAAUCCGGAUUUCCGAACUCCCGGACGGCGGGCUCACACAAGGUUUUCGACGUUUCCGGUACGGAAACCGAACGGUUUUUUCGUUUCUUUAUCGGUUCGUCAACGGCCGCCGCGGAACGAAUGAAAUAAUAUUGACGUGUUUAACAAAGACCGCGAUAAAAAAUGCGAAUUAAAACAACGGUCGGCAUUAGGGAAGGGAAACGCGAGCAGCCGGGCUCAAGACGCCGCGUUCAAUCGGACGCAUUCCGUCGAGACUCCGGGUUUCCGAUCGGAUUCCCGUUCGGAAUCCUGUUCCGAAACGGUCGGCGAACAAUUACGGGCGGCGUCGAAUCGGCACGGGCACGGGCGUCGCCGGGCCGGCGAGCGGACGGCGUUACGAUAACCAGCGCCGCGGAAAACCCGCAAUCCGCGCGACGGACGUGCGUGCGUGACGCGUUCAAUUAGCGACGGCGACGACUCGGAAUCAAACUCGUAAUUCGCCACAGCGCGCGGCGCGGCCGAGGCUCACGUGCCGCGCGGUACGGUAGAUAAUUUUUCCGUUCCAACGACAACGUAAUAAUCAAACGCCGUCGCGCCGCCAGCCGCAGCGGUACGGCCGCGCGGCCGGCGGCGCGACGGCCGGACGGCGGGAGCGUUCCGGGCGUCCGGACGCCCGGCUCCCGCGGAAACCGCUGAAAUUCAGACACGCGACGUCCACACGCGCAGCUUUCGGAAAAGUCCCGGCUGUGCCGCUGCCACGUUGUUCGCUUGUCGAUUGUCCCCGGCCGACGGGACCCGUAAGCAACGUCAACGGACAAUCGGAAUCGUGCGGCUCUCCGUUACCGAAACUAGUGCCGCGGUUGCGCGGCCGACCGAGCGGUUGGAGGAAAAAUUACGUGGUUUUUUUUUCCCCGCGGCGGUCGUGCGGACCCGACCGCACCUCGUCGCGUCCGAGGAGAUUCGCGUUCGCGACACGCGUGGGCGUUUAGUCGUCCGGCCGGAGCGUUCGGCGGAAAACCGCACUGCCCGUAGUUGUGACGCCGGCGCACGAUUCGCCGCGUUCGUAGCACGAAAAUCGACCGCAAACAAAUCCGGUUUUUCGGUAAUUCGUCGCUUCCGACCGUAAUUCUUCCCGUUUUCGUUUCGUUUGUUUUCUUCGCCGGACAUCUCCCCCGUCCGCCACUCACCCGCCGCCGGUUCGCGACCCGUCCGCCGACCCGCCGUAAGAACCCGUCGUAAAUUGAAUACGAUAUGACCGCGCCUGCCCCCGUACUGUCUGAACCUCGCGUCCGCCGGCCUUCAUUAAAUGUUCAACGCCGGUUUUAAUUAAACGCCGACCGGCGGCGCGCGUGACACGGAAAACGCACCGCGCGUAGGUACACAGAAACUUUAACGAUAUAUUAUUAGCCCGCGACUACUGCCGCCACCGCCACUGCCGCCGCCGCUACCGCCGCCACUACCGCCGCCACUGCUACCGCCGCCAUUACCGCUGCUGUUGCCACUACCACCGUCACCGGUACAACUACUGCAACAACGCACCCACGGGUUUUAUCGUGUUAUCGUGUACACGCACACGCGCGCGGUGCGCCGUGUUAUUGUUGCGCUCCGUGCGCCCGUGCCGGGUCAUAACAACGCCGCGAGGGAAGUUUGUCCGACACUUUCCAUUAGCCGGCCGACGUACGCCCGCGUUAAUAAUUAGGGGCGCCGCCGACGAAGCCGGGAGUAAACGCGAGAUUAGGUCUGCGAAAAAAAUGAAUAGCGUACCGCGACGGUGUUAUUAGUCCGGCGUUGCGAUGAAAAAAAAAAAAUAAUAAUAAUAAUUAUAAAAUAAUAACUAACAGUUUUUUUUUUCUCGUUUCAAACGUGAAUUUAUUUUUUUUUCGUAUACAACUACAUUGUUUUUUUUUUUUUUUCUAACUUUUAAACAAAUUCGUAUGUUUUAAACGUUGUUUCGUUUUGUUUGUGUUGUAAAUAUUAUAAUAUUAUACCGCUAAAUUAUAAAUAUAAUUAACUUAUCUUCAUUAUUUCUUAAAAACAAAAUGGCAAUUGAAAAAAAAAAAAAAAAAAAAAAAACGCUACUUCUUUAUCCAAAAGUAAUAUAGUAACCGUUGAAGUUUUUAUUUAUAUUUUCAGAAUAAACAGAGACUAAUAACUUAAUAUUAAAUACCUCCACUAUUCCAAACUUGUAUUAGUUAUUUUAAUUUAAGUUUUGAACGUUCGAAACGUUUUAAACGCAGGGAAUUGUUUUAAACGCUAAACACUCCAGGAUCCCGCAUUUAUACAGUAUGUGCGCCGGAUAAUAUUGUUGUACGCUUUCACAUCAUAUUUCCAUUGGUCGGUCAAACAACAAUCAGUCUAACAGUUCUAUAAAAUUUUACGAAUUUGUAUUAUGAAAUAUUUUAGGGUUUUAAGAUUUGUCGGGCAUAUAUUCAAAAGGUGUCGGUGCGUUUUUAUAUUUUAUAUAUUUUAAGAAUUUUUAACGUGUUUUUUUUUUUUAUUAUUAUUUUUAUAUUUUCAUAGCAAAUUUUGGUAAUUUUAGUGCAUGUAUAGUUGAUAGGUCAUGCAAUUAUUUGCACUAAUUUGAUUAACUCGAAAAUAUUUACAUUCACUCUGAAACACAUUUCAAAACAGUACCGUAUCAUUAUCGUACGGUUUGUGGAAUUAUGAAAUCGAAAAAUAAAUAUAUUUCUUCACAAAAAAAAAAAAACACCCCGUUUCACGUGAACAAAAACCUAGUAUUAAUAAACCAAAUUUCAACCACGAUAAAAGAGAAUCCGCAGUGUUGUACACUUUGGCAUUAGUUUUUCAUUUAGUUUUUGUUCCGAAAAUAUAGUAAUUCACGUUGAAAAACUUAAAAUUAUCAGAUUAUCCAACUAUAAUAAUUUUUUAUUAUUUAUGGUACUAAACAAAGCUAAAAUCCUCAGUUGCACGGUGCAGACUCUUCUAUUUAUGGUGCGAAUUCGGUUUGUUAAUACUAUAGUUUUACGGCCCAAUUAAUUUUUGCCCGCGUAAAACGGAUUUUACAAUCAAAUUUUUACACGCCUAAAAUCAAAAUGCAUUUGAAUUUCAAAGUCGAGUUUAUGAUAAUAUUGUUGCGGUGAUACUUUUCGGACUUUAUAAUAAAACUGCAUUCGAUAGUAAUACUUUGAUUUUUUUCCAUCAAAUAGAAGAUAAUGCAACCAGGGACAAACGUAUCAAUUUACUAAGACCUAUAAAAAUAUGUAACGCCUAUAAAAUAUUAUGUUUCCUUCUUUUUUUUUUCUAUGAAAUUUAUAAUUAGUGAAUUUCAACGAAUAUCCAUCAACCUCGUUUACAAAUUGUUUGUGCACAAUUUCAUUAUAUUCGUGUUUUAAAAACUGUAUUACGAUGAUCGUAUUAAAAUUUUUACUGUUAUUUUUGUCAUCCACUUCAGUUAGACCUGGAAAUACCUAAAUAAAAAAAUAAAUAAAUAAAAACACUUUGUUGAAAAAAAAAACCUCUUUCUCGACUAGCCAUAAAAGCCAAACCAUUACAUAAAUAAUUAAUCGAUUACUACAACAAAUCGCAUCCAUCCUAUUGAAUUAAUUAAAAUUUGAAACGAAAAAAAACCAAAAUUCUUUUUCUGUAUGUAUUCAUAAUACUGUAAAUUGUAAUAAAGAUACACUCACGAAUUAAUGUAACCGAUCUAUUGUAUGCACCUGAUCGCUGCUGUUGUUCUGUGUGCUAGGAAAUAUAAAUACUUUGUUAUAAUAGUUUAAUACUUGUUUAUUGCGCGUUUUUUUUUUUUUUUUUAUAAUUUACUGUAUAUUACACGUUCCGACCCUGGUCAAAGCAAAUCCCGUCGACCCAGCUUCCCGUUUUAUAAAACGCUAGUAGUUUGAAAUACUUUUUCCGAAAAAAUCGCUACGGCGUCGUUUAUAUUUUCGCGUCAUAGAUAUAACUUGUCCCGGUGCUAUUUUGUUUUUGUUUGUUUUUGAGCGGUGAAGAAAUUGUCCUCCGGAUGUUUCCGCGUCAUAAUCCACGUACUUUUAAUGCACGGAUAUACGUGUCUCGCGUGUUUACUGCCGUAUAUACAACUGUUACGGCCACUCGAAUCACCGUGACGUCAAUAAGUACGUAUCGACCCGCUGUGUCGAGGUGAAAAGAAAAAAAAAAUAACAAUAAUCCGUACGACCACUGUCGUAAUACCGUCGCAUUUUUCGACUAGCGGUAAAUCGGAUUUUCUCGGGUUCUGUCGAUCGCGGAAAAAGAGCAUCUCUCAAAUCCAACGGGCUUUAAAAAAUCGUGUUUGAAAUAUCAUAAUAAUUUUUUUCUAUCCUUUUUUAUUCCAUCUUUCGGGCGGAGAAUCAUCGUCAAAAAUCACCGUCACGUAAAAAACGCGCGAAACACAAUUACUAUACACAAUAUAAAAUAAUAUAGGUACUCGGCGAUAAAAAAAGUAUAAACGAUGUCGUUCACAUAAAUGACAUAACCAAACCUUCUCCCGGAAAUAUGAAUUUCUUUACUAACUCUACGAAUUCGCGUCAUUUAUGUUACGAUUACUGACAUUUGUUUGUAACUGUAGACGUUUGUAUCUCGCUUGUUUAUUAAUUUAAAUAGUCAUCGCUAGAGUCUAGAAAACGGGUAAAAAAAAAAAAAUGACUUAAAAAGAGUGUGUUUUAUUCUAAUUAGUAUCAAUUGAAUUUAUAGCGCGCAUAGCUUUGUUUUAGACCAAUAGAGAAAAAAACUAAAAAAUCGCAUAAAAAAAUAUAGGGCAUCAUUAUUGUAGAAUAAUAAUAAUAAAAAAAAAAAAAAUGCAAUAUUAUCAUAACCUAUAUUGUGGACCAAAUAAAUCGCCCGAUUCGAAAAAGACGCGCGCGUAGAUAUGGGUAAUCUCUCCGGAAAUUUCCGGUGAUUUAAAUGUUAAAUUUUAUUUUUAUUAUAUGUUUGGGAGAUGGGUGUUUUUAUAAUUAGCCCGGAUUUCGGAUUUCUAGUGUACACCCGCGUUCCUGUGUGAAUAUAUAUUAUAAAGUCUAAUGAAAAAAAAAUAAUAAUAAUAAUAAAAUAAAAAAAGCAUUACAAUAAUCCGAAAAGGCGAACAAAAAAAUGACAUUUAUUAAAUUCGCGGGGAAUGGGGGAAAAAAGCGCAGCAAAACGUAAUAACCGCGCUAUUUCAUUAUUAUUGUGAUUAUUAUUUGUAUCAGUCGGGUCGGCCAAAGAGCUAUACGGUUAAUAGGUUUCCGCGCCCGGAAAAAAAAAAAAAAUAAUAAAAAUAAUAAUAAUAAUAAUAAUAAUAAUAAACGGCACGAAAACGUAAUAUUUCGAAACGCGGACCGAGGAAAACGACGCUGUUGAAACGCUGCCGACUCAAAAGCCGAAAAUAACAAUAAUAUUAUCAACAGCACGCCCUGCAAUGGCGAAAAGGCCGGUGGCACGAUCGCACGAUGGCGCCGAUACCGAAUUAACCCGGUUGAGUUUGUGUCGGCCGAUAAAGAAUUCACGAGUGUACACGGUAAAAGUGAACUGUCGUAACGAUUAACCGACCAGUUGUGUAAACUCGAGUUGACCGUUCGACUUGAAUAUUCGUUUAUUCCGCACGCAUUUCCUUCGUAAUUUCCACGUCGAACCAACGUUCACGCGGUACACGUUCAGAGAAACGGAAUUUUUUACCCGGCGGUACUUUAUUUGAACAAUUUUUCUGAAUUCCCGAUAGUCUUUUCUUAAAAUAUUAAAAAAAAAACUCGUCAAACGGCAUUAAAUGCGUCGUUUUUUUUAAGAUUAAUCAUAACGGUAAUACAAUUAUUAUCGUAUGCAACGGCCAAAUGUUCAAUUAAAAUUAAUAACAAUCGUUGAUUUGUUCGUACGGUUUGAAAGAGAAAAUCAAUAUUCGAUACGAACAAAUUAACUCUAGCGGAAAUUUGCUUUUCUCGUCACCCGAUGUACCGUUUCAAAUGUUCAGUCCCUUUUUAUAUUUUCUGCGUCAUAACGUUGCAAUCGUUACGGCGAAAAGAACCGCUUGUUCCCGGCAUUUCAAACGUCUAUAAUGUUUCUCGCACAAUUCAUCGAAAAAAAAAAAAAAAAUAAAAAUCUAAAAAAAAAAAAAAAAAAAAAAAACAACGUUUCUCGAACGUUAUAAUUACAUUGAUAUUUAUUUCAAUCGUAUUCGCGGUAGAUCGUUAAAUUACUGUAGUUCGGUAAAUUCGCUUUUGAGCGCGCGGCCGUUCGGUAAUACGAGGUCGCCUAUAAUAUACGUUCAUACAAUAACGACGUGCGGAAAUAAAGGAAAACAAAACGAAAAAAAAAAAUAAAAAUCUAAAAAAAAAACAAAUCGCGAAACCAAGAACGCGGAAAAAUUCCGUAUAAAUCACUUAACUGCGCGACCGGUCCAAGGGACUUGGAAGUAUUUCAAGUUCGCGGUGCCUUUGCCGAGCAUAAGUAUUAUUGUGUCUGCGACCCCCUUCGGGCCGCCGUACGGCCGCGUUAUAGACGUUAAUUUAAAUAAUAAUAUCGUCACGCCGAGACCAGCGCGAUGUAUAAUAACGUGCCGGUCGUUUGAACGGAAAAUAAAAUAUCGGACCGAUAACUUGGAUAUUAUAUUGUUAUUGGUGCACAGCGCGUCGCCCCGUGCCGUCAAUGUAUACCCGGCAGCACUGUUGGCGGUAAAACAACGAAAGUUCCUACGCCCGAACGCGAGCAAUUUUAUAGCGUUUUUUUUUUUUUUCAUUUUUUAUUUUUCAAAUGUAUGUACACGCGAGUCGUGGUGACGCAGCUCCGUUGCCGCGCCGCGUGGGCAACGAAGCGAUGCCGACCGCGCGUCUGCACAGUUGCGUACCGAAUGCGCGUCGAAAACUCGAAAAAUUACGGAUUAUCUGAUUUUUGGCUGCGGAUAAUGUAACAGUAAUGCGCGGGCAAGUGCGUAGUUAUCCGUUUAAAACUUUAAAAGGUUUCCGCCACGGCAGUAAUAUUAUAUGCGACAAAAGAAUAUUUAUCGAACGUUAUCGUAACGAUACUAACGUAUUAUGAUAUACGAUUUCAAGUUCCAGAACACAAGUAACACGACUAUAAUAUUGAUAUCAUCGCACGCGUAAUACAUUUUAUGUAACGAAUGUGUGUUGCGCUAUAGCGUUUUAAAAAAAGGCAAAAAUAUUGCAAUUGUAUCGCUUUCGGGGCUAUAAUCGGGGAACAACCGCUUAUUUGGAUCGAGUGAAUUUCGAAGAUCUAAAGAUUCAGUCACGCCGCACACUUAUUCCACUGCUGAUGUACGGACGUGGACAUUACGAAAGUCCGAACAAUAUAAAAUAUUCUCAAGGAAAAUCCCCAGAUGAAUCAUUGGAACUUGUCAGGACGAAACUACGGGAAAACGGAGAAUCAAGAAAAACCACCGAACUCAGACAAUUGUUUCAGAUCCGAGAGGAAAGAGACCCUCGGGUCGGGCAUGUACGAGACGGCAAGAUCGAAGUGAAAAACGACGUGGGAACGCGUCGAAAACCCUCGGGACCGUCCGACAUGAUUUGACGGUGGACGGAAUGAAAAGUGGUCGGAAAUAUGAUGUACGUAUAUGUGACUUUGCGAUCGGAUACUACGAAGAAGACAAAAGGAAAUUAUUUUUAAAAGUAUACAAACUGUACCAUAUGACGCCAAUAACGUCCAUAAUUUUAUGUCGUGGAGUGCGGUUCAACGAUUUUUCCACAUAUACGUUUCACUGACGAACCAACAGUUUUAGCUCAAGAGUUAUUAUCAGAAAAUACAAAGGUUAGGGGGGAGCUAGUGAAAUGUAUUUUUAAAGCGAUAGGCGUGCAAAUUUAUGUUACAUGUAUAAAACGAAAAAAAAAAAAAAAUUUAAAUUGUCGAAUAGGUCGAGGAGGCGGGGGGGGGAGGGGAAGAGGAAAAUCUGAUGAAAUCUACGCGGUAUCCGUUUCAUAUAGCAAUAUAUUGUGCGCAUAUCGUCUUGCCGCAAUCAUUAUUCGUGUUCGGUCUCGCGGAUCGGACGAAAAUGCGAAUAAUUCGUAUACGGCCGAGAUUUGUGUUCUAAUAUUUUACCGAGCGUUUUUCAAACGAUUCCGAUAACUUUUCCGCUCUCGCCUUCGAUUACGUUUACGAGUCACCGGCGGUGACGGUGGCGUUUGAUACUUAUAAAUAUUGUGCUACACGUCUUCGGAUAAACUGCGCACGUGUCUUCGCGGUUCCGGCCGUCGAAUUCGAGAUGUUGUAUAUUAUAUUAUACAUUAUUUUUAUUUUUUUUUUUUUUUUAUUUAUCUCGCCAUUCGUUGUCUGAAUGCCAAUCGCGCGCCGUAAUACCUACACACGCAUUGGGAAUAUCAUUACCUAUUACACGCAAUACAAAGCGACGCGUUUAAAACAAUACGUCCGCCGUGUGCGGACGGAUAAACUGAAACGAACGUGUAAAAAAAAAAAGAAAAAAAAAUACCCGUCACGACGUUCGUCGUUCGAUAUUUUCAACGAAGCAAUUAUUAUACGACGCGUUAAACGCCGGUGCAAGACUUAUCGGAGACGGCGACGUAGUCGCGGCAGACCGGAGCCCGAAAAGCCAUUACUACCGGUAUAUUUAUAGACUUAUAGUAAAGACGCGUUUGUCCGAUACACACGGUUAUCCUCGAUUUAAAUUCAACCCGUUUGGAGGACAACGUCAAAAAAAAAAAAAAAAAAAAAAAAAAAAAAAAAAAAAACAAGAAACAAAAUAUUAAAAAAACCGUUUUCGAUGCUAUCGUUUUGUAGAAACUUAUUACUGCGAGGACAAUAAUAAUAAUAAUAAUAAUAGUAUAUUUUGUCGUACGCAAGGUGAUUCCACAUUUCAGUGGCUACGACGAAUAUUUCGAAAAGUAUUGAUUUUUAUCACCGUGUAUAGUACCUGUGACAAAAGCGUCUAGAAAAACAAACCACGCCGUCUCUUUGUUUUUUUCGUACGGCUCAUUAGACGCACGUUAUUUUGCAUCCCCAGCGCCUCACUCCAAACUCGAUAAUUACACUUUGGAAUCGGCAAUUUAAAUAUCUGAUACCCAAGUCGAAAAACAAAAACGAUAGUUUCUCAUUUCUGAUUUAAUAUUAAUCUCUAGUCGGAAAUUAUUAAAAAAUUAUUCAGUAGUUGGAAUUUCAUUUAUUUUAUAUUUACAAGAAUGCCUCGCAAUGUUGUGCUGAAAAAAAAAAAAGGCUGGUAAGUUAAAAGUAAAAAAUGCUUAUAUCUGCGCUAUAAAUGAAAAAAACAAUGAUGAAUGCAAAAAGAAAAAUUUCAAUUUUGUUGCUGUUAUUUUGUUAUGUCGGUUGGGACACUACAGUCGUUAAUAGAGAUAAGAUAUAAAAACCAUAAAAAUAUCGAUCGAAAUUCUAUAUUAUUGAAGAAUAUCAAUUAA